rnacentral:lncRNA from 1 species
UCUAGAAGUGCAUGUUAACAGAUGAGUACUAAUUUCUAAUUUCUAAUUCACCUCUUGAGAAGCAUGCCCAUGCUAAAAACGAACGUCAAUAAUUUACAUCAACAUACCUCUAGAAAACCGAUCUGACAAAAGUGGGUACUAACAGCUACCUAAGUUCCAUAAUGGUGAAAUACUCCAUUAACUCUCAUUGCCAGGUGGGAGACCAGCUUAAUUAAGUCCGACUGGACGGCUCAAACAGGAAAUUAUUUGCACUUAAUAGUGCAAGGAAUCAAACCCAUAUCAUAAUACACAAAAGCGCAUUCCUUAACCACUAAAUGAGCAGUGUGGGGUUGCCUCUCAAAACAUUUCCAAGAUACCGAACUGGUAGUCAUUGAGAGGCCAACGUGGCAGAGCCAGGAUCAGGCUCGGGAGUUGCUACUAAGUUUGGUACAAGGCUCCUGGUUCGUUGCCAAUACCGGGUUUAAGGUCUCCGGUUGGCUCCGAUAGACCCCACAUGGGCUUGGCGGGAGCCUUUUAUAGACCUUGGCGGGAGCCUUUUAUAGACCUGCUCAGGUCUAACUGUACCUUAUAUUGCUUUUGGUAAUUCCUAAAGAACCUGACCAUAAAAUAAAUUGCAAAGAAAAAAUAACUCAUUAGACAUGUCUCCUUAGUGCCUAACUGAGCGUGGCCAAGUGCCCGUUGUGAUCCAGAAUCGCACGCCCAACGGAGCGUGACUAAGUGCCCACUUUGAUCCAGAAUCGCAUCUCUACGCUGUUCAAGCGACUUAGUCUUGCUGGAGACCCGGCCACCGACCGGUAGCUUUGGCUACUUGCGAUCUCUGUUAUGGGCAUCUCAGUUUGUUCCUCUGAACAUUUACGCCAUGUCAAUGUGUAAAUUGAGUGGCGGCUUGAUUUAUUUGUGGUCAAUCUCGAGAUGCUAAUCCAAUAGAAAGUUUAAGAAUUAAAAUUUCGAUACUCGAACGUUAUCCAAUUCUGUCACUGAUCAGCUAAGCUUUCGGGGGAAAAAUAAAAAAGUAUUGUCGUUAGUGUCAAUCAAGCCGUCUGGGAUUUAGUCACCAUCUUCUUCCAAUUAAAUGAUCUCCUUUAGCAACAAAGUUUAAGCGGUACUUUUGACUUAUAAGAUGCGAAAAGAAAUGGUGCUAGUCUUGGGAAAUGGACAUACGUACCUUCACUUUUCUGUUUAGGUAACAUAAGUAGAUUUUUUCAGAAAGUUUCGUGUGGCAGAGUUUGGCAAAAGAUGUUGCCAAGCAUCGACAAACCUACUAUUCCAUAUGUUAAGACCUUAAUCUAACUAGAACUCCAUGUAAGGAAGUUAAUUAGUUCAUUUUUAGUUGGUCUAAAGCCAGCUCUCUUCCAAUUUCCGUCAAAAUCUAAAAUAUUAUUCAAAUGCUAAAGGUGUAUUGCUAAAGAAUGAUUAAACACUUAAUAACAAUAGUUAACAAAUUGAAAAUCAGGUGCUUACUUAGCUAUUUAACAAGUGACCCAUGGGUACUCUUUAACAGUCGUAUGUUUUAAAAGGUUUCAUGUAUUUCCACUUUAAUAAAAAUCAAAGUACAUGCACUACAAAAUUCCAAAAAAGCAAGUGGUAAAGAUUGAGGUGUUUCGUCUUGAACUUUUGAAAGCAAGAAAAAGUGAUUUUUUUUAUUUAAAAUAUCAUUUGAAUUUUAAAAAAUUUAUCAAAAUACUACAUGUGUGUGUUUAUCUGUCAACAUUUAUGUUUGGCAAGGGGUAAAAAGAUGACAAAUUGUGAAAGUAUGGGGUUUAGAAAAGCAAAAGUAAAAAAUUAGAAGUCGAUUCAGACCACUCAAUUGAUUGAUUNNNNNNNNNNNNNNNNNNNNNNNNNNNNNNNNNNNNNNNNNNNNNNNNNNNNNNNNNNNNNNNNNNNNNNNNNNNNNNNNNNNNNNNNNNNNNNNNNNNNACCAUAAGUGGAGACUUUAGUGAAUUGUUUCCUGAAGUAAGAUGGCUUCGAUGGUUAUACAUUGAACCUGAUAUAUUUUCUUCAGCAAUCAAUUUGCAUCUAUCUAAAUUAGUGGUGUUGGAAUUGUUACAAAACAAGCUUACAGAUGAUUGGGGAGGAUGGAGUUUGAUCAUGGUAAGAUGGAAAAAAAGACAUCCUCUAUGAUCUUUGCUUUGUUUUGUUUUAUCAAUUAAACUCCUUUUUGAUAGCUUUUUCUCUUUUGUACAGGCAGCAAAGCAACUAAAAGUUCUCGACCUUUCAAAUAGCAGGGAGUUAAGAUAUACUCCUAAUCUCUCGGCUUUCACGAAGUUGGAGAUUCUUAUCUUGUCUAACUGUUACAAAUUGAAGCAAGUCGACCCUUCUAUUGGCAAACUCAAGAGUCUCAUAUCUUUGAACUUGUGUCAUUGUGAAAAUAUGAAAGAGCUACCAGAGGAAGUGGGGGAAUUGCAAGAACUAAAAGAACUCCUUUUAAGUGAUAGUGGCAUUACAAAGAUUCCUACGUCGAUCUACUCUCUAAGGAAGCUAGAGUGUCUGGAUAUCGCAUUUUGUUGUUCAUUGGUUGAAAUCCCUCCCACAAUUGGGAAUUUUUCUUCUCUCAAACUACUUGAUCUAGAGGAUUGUAAGUCAUUGACAGAAAUCCCUAGCUCAAUUGGGAAUCUUUCUUCCCUCAAACGACUUGAUCUAUUGGGUUGCAAGUCAUUGACAGAAAUCCCUAGCUCAAUUGAGAAUCUUUCUUCUCUCAAACAACUUAAUAUAGGGAGUUGCGAGUCAUUGAUAGAAAUCCCUAACUCAAUUGGGAUUAUUUCUUCUCUCAAACGACUUGAUCUACAUAGUUGUGUGUCCUUGACAGAAAUCCCUAGCUCAAUUGGGAAUCUUUCUUCUCUUGAACGGCUUGAUUUAUGGGGUUGCAUGUCCUUGACAGAACUCCCUAGCUCAAUUGGGAAUCUUUCUUCUCUUAAACAGCUUGAUUUAUGGGGUUGCAUGUCAUUGACAGAAAUCCCUAGCUCAAUUGGGAAUAUUUCUUCUCUCAAACAACUUGAUCUACGGAGUUGCAAGUCAUUAAUAGAAAUCCCUAACUCAAUUAGGAAUCAUUUUUUUCUAGAUUUUGGGUUAUUGACAGAAAUCCCUAUCUCAAUUGAGUAUCUUUUUUCUCUCAAACAACUUGAUCUUUCUUCUCUCGGAGUACUUGAUCUACAUGGUUGUAUGUCAUUGACAGAAAUCCCUAGCUCAAUUCGGAAUUAUUCUUCUCUCAAACAACUUGAUCUAGAGGGUUGCGUGUCAUUGACAGGAAUCCCUAGCUCAAUUGGGAAUCUUUCUUCUCUUGAACAAUUUAAGCUAUGGGGUUUCGUGUCCUUGACAAAAAUUCCUAGCUCAAUUGGGAAUCUUUCUUCUCUAAAAGAACUUCGUCUAAGGGGUUGCGAGUCAUUGACAGAAAUCCCUAGCUCAAUUGGAAAUCUUUCUUCUCUUGAACAACUUCAUCUAGAGGGUUGUGAUGUCAUUGACAGAAAUCCCUAGCUCAAUUGGGAAUCUUUCUUCUCUCAAACAACUUGAUCUACAUAGUUGCGUGUCCUUGACAGAACUCCCUAGCUCAAUUGGGAAUCUUUCUUCUCUUGAACAGCUUGAUUUAUGGGGUUGCAUGUCAUUGACAGAAAUCCCUAGCUCAAUUGGGAAUAUUUCUUCUCUCAAUCAACUUGAUCUACAUAGUUGCGUGUCCUUGACAGAACUCCCUAGCUCAAUUGGGAAUCUUUCUUCUCUUGAACAGCUUGAUUUAUGGGGUUGCAUGUCAUUGACAGAAAUCCCUAGCUCAAUUGGGAAUAUUUCUUCUCUCAAACAACUUGAUCUACGGAGUUGCAAGUCAUUAAUAGAAAUCCCUAACUCAAUUAGGAAUCAUUUUUUUCUAGAUUUUGGGUUAUUGACAGAAAUCCCUAUCUCAAUUGAGUAUCUUUUUUCUCUCAAACAACUUGAUCUUUCUUCUCUCGGAGUACUUGAUCUACAUGGUUGUAUGUCAUUGACAGAAAUCCCUAGCUCAAUUCGGAAUUAUUCUUCUCUCGAACUUGAUCUAGGGGGUUGCGUGUCAUUGACAGGAAUCCCUAGCUCAAUUGGGAAUCUUUUUUCUCUUGAACAACUUAAGCUAUGGGGUUUCGUGUCCUUGACAAAAAUCCCUAGCUCAAUUGGGAAUCUUUCUUCUCUAAAAGAACUUCUUCUAAAGGGUUGCGAGUCAUUGACAGAAAUCCCUAGCUCAAUUGGAAAUCUUUCUUCUCUCAAACAACUUAAGCUAUGGGGUUGUGUGUUAUUGGAAGAAAUCCCUAACUCAAUUGGGAACCUUUCUUCUCUCGAACAACUUGAUCUAGGGUGUUGCGUGUCAUUAACAGGAAUCCCUAGCUCAAUUGGGAAUCUUUCUUCUCUUGAACAACUUAAGCUAUGGGGUUGCAAGUCAUUGAUAGAAAUCCCUAGCUCAAUUGGGAAUCUUUCUUCUCUUGAACAACUUCAUCUAGAGGGUUGUGAGUCAUUGACAGAAAUCCCUAACUCAAUUGGGAAUCUUUCUUCUCUCGAACAACUUAAGUUAUGGGGUUGUGUUUUAUUGGAAAAAAUUCCUAACUCAAUUGGGAAUCUUUUUUCUCUCAAACAACUUGAUCUACGGAGUUGCAAGUCAUUGACAGAAAUCCCUAGCUCAAUUGUGAAUCUUUCUUCUCUUAAACAACUUAAUCUACAGAGUUGCGAGUCAUUAAUAGAAAUCCCUAACUCAAUUGGGAAUAUUUUUUCUCUAGGUUGUGGGUCAUUGACAGAAAUCCCUAUCUCAAUUGAGAAUCUUUUUUCUCUUAAACAACUUGAUCUUUCUUCUCUCGAAGUACUUGAUCUAAAUAGUUGUGUGUCAUUGACAGAAAUCCCUAGCUCAAUACAGAAUUAUUCUUCUCUCGAACAACUUGAUUUAGGGGGUUGUGUGUCAUUGACAGGAAUCCCUAGCUCAAUUGGGAAUCUUUUUUCUCUUGAACAACUUAAGCUAUGGGGUUGCGGGUCCUUGACAGAAAUCCCUAGCUCAAUUGAGAAUCUUUAUUCUCUCAAACAACUUGAUCUAGGGUAUUGCAAGUUAUUGACAGAAAUCUCUAAUUCAAUUGGGAAUCUUUCUUCUUUCAAACAACUUGAUCUACGGAGUUGCGAGUCAUUAAUAGAAAUCCCUAACUCAAUUGGGAAUCUUUUUUCUCUCGAGCAACUUAAUCUAGGAGGUUGUGGGUCAUUGACAGAAAUCCCUAUCGCAAUUGGGAAUCUUUCUUCUCUCAAACAACUUGAUCUAUGGGGUUGUGUGUUACUAAGAGAAAUCCCUAGCUUAAUUGGGAAUCUUUCUUCUCUCGAACAACUUUAGCUAGGGGGUUGUGUGCUAUUGAGAGAAAUCCCUAGCACAAUUGGGAAUCUUUCUUCUCUCAAACAACUUGAUCUAUGGGGUUGCAAGUUAUUGACAGAAAUCCCUAGUUCAAUUGGGAAUCUUUCUUCUCUAAAAAAGCUUGAUCAAAAGAGUUGCGAGUUAUUAACAGAAAUCCCUAGCUCAAUUGGGGAUCUUUCUUCUCUUGAACAACUUCAGUUAGGGGGUUGUGUGUCAUUGGGAGAAAUCCCUAGCUCAAUUGAGAAUCUUUCUUCUCUUAAAGUACUUGGACUAGAGGCUUGAAAGUCAUUGAGAGAAAUCCCUAUCUCAAUUAGGAAUCUUUCUUCUCUCGAAUACCUUAACCUUUACGGGUGUUGUUCACCAAAAGAAAUUCCUACCUCAAUUGCGGAUUUAUCGAAUUUGCAAAGCAUUGGGGAUUUUUGACCUUGAAUAGUUACCUAUUGCUAUUGGAUGGUUGAACAAACCGCCGAAGGCUAUUUCUUGAAUCUUGUGAUAGUCUAAAAGGGGGAAUUCCAAGAGAAAACGAUGACUUGUCUUCGUUUGUGAUUCUCCAUAUCAGUGGCACAUUGAUAUUUGACCCGCCAGAAAGCAUCUGGAAUAUUUCUUCUCUCUAUUGCCUUGACCAAGAGGGCUGUAGGGAGCUUGAUCGUUGCUAGAGCUUCCUUCCGGCUUAACAUAUCUUCAAAUUCCUAGGUUGCCAGAGCUUUCUUACCUAUUCCACUUGGAAGAACUUCAUUUUUAUGGAUACGAUCAACUUGAGUACUUCCCAGAGCUUACCUCAAGACUCUUGAAACUUUGUGUUGACUUCUGUCCCAAGUUGAUAUUGCUUGAGCUUGACGGAUUCAAGUACUUGGAAGAGUUGUCAAUAAAACACUAUAAUUCCAUUGAAAGAAUGGACCUCUCACAAUCGAAUCUUCUGAAAGAAUGGAGGAUUGCGAUAAUCUAGUUGAAAUUUAGGGCCAAGGUAAAUUGGAGUUCUUGGAGACAAUACAUACAUAUAGCUACAAGUUCGUUAGAAGGCCGAUCCAUCCGAAACUACAAGGGCUUGAAGCAAUUAAAUACUUGCUAUUGCGACAAUCUAGUCAAAAUACAAGGUCUUGAUAAGGUGGAGUUGUUAGAGAUGUUGAAUGUAUGUAAUCGUGAUUCUAUCGAAAGAUUACCUGACCUAUGAUGCUUUUGGAACUUGAAAGAGUUGAAUAUCAAUGGUUGUCAUAAUCUACGUGGUGUCGAGACUCAAUUCCCAGUCUUAUAUAAGUGCAAGAGUGGAGAAGUCAAUCCUAGAAGCUAACAUGAUGCUUCAGCCAAGAUCAAAAUUUCGAUCCAAUUGUGGUUCUUCAUACGUUAGAAGGCGUUGGUCAUCUGGUAAGAUUCUUUGACCUUUAACAACUAGAACGAGCCAAAAGUGUAAUACUUUUCUAACAGAUAUAUCUUUUAAGAAUUAUUUGCUCGACGCUUCGUAUCUAUUUGAUCUGGAUUUGCCUAAGUAUAUUCGCUGUUGAUUGCAUCACAGCAAUGCUUUUUCAGUUAAUCUUCAAUCGGCAACUUUUGCAGAUAGAUUGGCGGCUUGUGAGGCAACAAAUGAAAACUAACAACAUAGGUAAACAAGAAUUACUUAGUGAUUUACAGUUUCCCUCUUGGUAAACCCAAGAUGAGAAUUUUUCAUCAAGAGGUUGAUCUUCUGCAACUCAAUUUAUAAACUCCACCCAGAUCCCUUUUUUCUCUGUCUCAAACUAGUAUUUUCCUUUAAAAAAUCCUUCGCCUUUUUGAACUCCUUUUUGUGAGCAAUUUUAUGUGUCAAAUUUGACUAUUGGUAGAUAUCCUGUUUAGGACAAACAGCUCUCGAUUUUUCGUGAUGAUGGGAAAGCCUAUCCAUUGUUCAUUCGAGCAUGAAUUCUCAUUAAGGAAGAGAAACUGAGCUAAAAUAAAAAUCAAGGUUCAAUUUUUUUUUGGUGCGUGAUUUAAAAAAGUAAAAAUUAGUUUUGGCUAGCCUUUUUCAUCUAUGAUUGUAGGCAGGCUUUCCAUAAACAAUUGUGAGACUGUUGAAAGAUUAUCAAGCGAGAUAAAUUGGUGCUACUUUUGUGACAGGUUGGGUUGGUCUAUGUAAUGAUCAAGGCUUACGUUUGGACUUUAAUUCAAAGAGCUGUAUGGAUGACCUUUUGCAUAAUUGGGACAAUUUUUUGCCUGCUCUAUAAAACAAGCUAGGCGAGGAGCUUAAGAUUUUGCUUAUUAUUGUGCAUCCCGUUUGAACCUGAUGUUGUCAUGGAAUCAUUUUAUCAAAUGAUUGAUCUGGGUCUGGUUAACUCGGCUGAGGCAAUUUAUAGUCCAUACCCCAGAGAAUGAUCAAAUGAAGAAGAGGGAUUUUGCUGAGGUGUCAUUAGCAACAGCUGAAGGCUAGCUUUUGUGCGACCUUGAACAGGCUCAUGGGCCAACUGGAGUAUCCUAAGGAAGUUUUUUAUGCCUGUGAAGAUCAAAGCACUUGAUAUGGUUUCAUCAGCACAAAACUGAAUGAUUGUGAAUGUAUUAUUUUUCAGUUGAAUCUACAUUUUGUAUUCUCAUUAGGUUCUACCUCUAUUAAGCAAAUACACACGUGCUGAUUUUUCUACAUGUUAACCAGAUGCUGAGUUCUUUGAUGCAAUGCGCUCUAAUGGUAUCAUUCCCAAACUCAAAGCAGGCUCUGCAGAUAGAGGUAUGCACUGCCAGUCCUACCAUAACUGUGAAAGAGUGACUCGUGUACUUAUAUUUAAUUGAAUGUGCUGUAUGCUUGUUAGGUUCUACCUCUCUGUUAAUCGAAUAUGUAUGUGCUGAUUUUUCUGCAUGUUACCCUGAUGCGGAGUUGUUUGAUGCGGUCUCAUUCUAAUGAUAUCACUUUCAAACCCAAUGAGGCUCUGCAGAUGGAGGUAUGUACUACCAGUUGUACCAUAAUAGAGUAACUUGUGUGCUUAUACUAUGUGAGCUGUGGAGUUUCACCAGAAAUCCGUGAACUAGGAUGCAUGAUGACAAUCUCCUCUUUUUCUGUCAGUUCAUAAUAUCUUUUGAAUGUUGUGAUAAAGGUCUCUGAUACGACGAGCUUAAAUCUCAUGUAUGUAGCAUUAAAUUUGUAAAGUUAAAUAUAGCCUCCUAGCAAACAAUUCCAUAUUGCUAAUUUCGCUAAUUGGAUAUUGCAAAAUAACCAAGUAACAAGUACGCCUUUCUGCUAUGUAGUUUGGGCACUUUGCCUUUUCAGCAUCCGUUUGUUCAUAAACACAAACAAGGAUAAUGGUGCUAAUUGCUGACUUCUCUUCUCUUAAAGUCCGUUGUUUUCUAUUUCUUUGGCUGAUAAUGAAUUCUGUUGAUUGCGAUCCAAUUGCGAAUUAAUCAGAGACCCUUGGAAUGUGUGGCAAAACUAAUGUCCCCAGAUUUUGGUGUUGAUAGGUAGGAUUCAUUGAAGAGGUCACUUGUAGAUCGCCAGAAUCUGGACCAGGUCAAAAUAACCUUGUUUAUAUUGAUGGACUCUCAAGUCUAUGCUUAUUACUUUCGGCUAAUUUUAGGUUCUUCAUUCCAAAUACAUCUAAAAAUAGACAGAACUAAGGAUCCAUGCAGCCGUGCCUUUAUCUCUCUUCGAGAUGAUUGGAAAGUGUGACACAGUUUUACUCUCAACCAUCUCGUGUAACACAUGCAUCGCCCUCAUUUUCUGACCAUCUUUGGCAAGUGCCCGGGUGGAGACUAGUUAUAAGUCUUCUAAGGUUGAAUUUGUUAGUGUUCGUAACUUUUGACGAAAUAUCAUAAACAACCUGAAUUUAUCAUUCAUUCUUUUCCUAAAUCUAUCACGAAGUACAUAUGUAGCUAGUAAAAUUAUAAUUAUUUUGAAAAUCUCAUGUGACAACAGCUGAUUGGAAAAGCCAAUGAGUGUGAGACCCAAAUACAGGGUUUACAUUUGAUGAUGCGGUUCAAACUAUAAGAGACACACCUUCGGGUCGUCCAAAACUUCUUAACGACUUGCCUCGAAGGAAACAACCAAGAGAAUGGAACAAAAUUUCACCAAGGAAUGAAGAAGGAGAAGGAGAAGGAGAAGGGGAAGGAGAAGAAGAAGAAGAAGAUUGCCUCAACUGAGUUGAGAACAAAAUUGCAGCUACCACUGCUACCGAACCUUCUCAUGUGGACUCCGGUGCCACCUCCUCUGUGGUUUAACUGGUAUGAUGACUAAUUCAUGAAAUAUUUGAUAUAAUGCCAAAGUGCUAAUUUCCAAGUCCCCUUCAUUUAUUGAGUAGUAUAAGCUUGCACAAGUUCAAUUUCCUUGCGCUCGUAUCAGCAGCAGCAUCACAAAGUCCGGUCUUCCAAUUCCCAAUGAAAUGUUCUUUUUUAUUCUUUGCAGGGUUUUAUACCGAUAAAUUGUUGAUACUCCCUGCAAUAAGCUCCGACGAUCGUGGUGUACAUGGUCACAUCUAGCUCUCAGCCUGUGUCUUCCAAAUUCUUCAGCAAUCGAACGACUUUUCCAGUAUUGCCGGUUCUGCACAAUCCCUCAUCAUGGCUUGGCACGUGGUUAUAUCUACCUCGAUUGUCUAACCAACAUUUCAUCCGCCAAGCUCAUGGCUUUGGCGAUUCUCCCCUCUCCAACGAGCCCAUUGAUCAAAGUGUUAAAAGCUCGCAGUUGUGGGUUCAAGUCCAAGUUUGACCAUUUUACACAAAACUGAGGACCCGAGAUCGGAUCUUUUCAAUUGGCAGAGGUAAUUUAUCAAAAUGUUGGGAGUAGAACUGUUGAGAGUCGUUCCUUUCGAACCCAUCCGCUCGAUCAUGUCAAUGGCGACGGGGUAAUGCUUCAUCUUGGCGCCAACCCCAAGAGUUGGGCGAAACAGGGAGGUAAAGUCAAGAGGGUUCACUCGAAUUGUCCUCUCCAAGAAGAAUAAAGCAUCAGCAGCUUCCACCAAUCCACCAUUUCUUCAUUUGUUCACCACAAAGGUCACAAGUUCAGAUUGAUCCAUUGAAUCACUCACUCCAGCAGUGGAUGGGCAACCGUGGGAGCAACGUGAAAGAAAAUGGUUCGAUGCAAAGAUGGGAUGACGGAUGAGAAGUGAAAGGUUUAGCAAGAUCGCCAGAUUCUCGAACAAGACAGUGAAGAGUGGAAGUGAAAAUGGAUCGAUUCAUUCUCAUUAGUUUUGCCAAAUUCUCUCCUUCUGAGUUCCAACAAUCCACAAAUUGACGCAAUGACGUAUGGAGAGGAUGAUUAUUAGGCAGUUUAAUCACUGAAAUUUUAGAUGUCUGAUAACAACAUAGUUUUCGGUUCAAUCAUUGAAAACUACUUGAUUGGCAAACUAAACAUUUCUAGAAAUGCUCUGAUCAAUUCAUUCCCCUACUCGGCAAUUGAAGAGAGGUCAGGAUGCAUAAUCAUGCUCAGGAUGCAUAAUCAUGCUCUUAUACUGUUGUAAAAACAACUAUGAAAUCCACAUGUGGGACCAAAUCCGAAUGGAUUGAAAUCUCACACGACAAAAACGGCGAACACUAGCAGAGUUAAAGUAUCGCCUGUCGACAUGAACGUUUCAAGUCUUACUACUAUAGGCCCAAAAAAAUGAGAAAACAAUACUAACUAUUGUGUAUAGAACAUACUUUUGACAUUAUACCAACUUAACAAUUUGUUUUGGUUUAUUCGAUGCUUUCUUACUCAUCGAAUGAGCCAGGCAUCCUGGCUCACAUGUUGCAAAACGAAACUUUCUUAUAUGAAUUUUUGGUCUGGAUGGUUUACAUACUUUGUGUUUCGCAUAUGAAGUAUGUACUUCAAGAAGGAAAAUAAUAAUUAUUUUUUUGGCCCUGAUAACAUAGGAUUACUCAUCCAGUGGCUAAAACUCUAAACAUGUGAAACGGAUGACGAAGCUAAAUCAAUAAUUUCUCUUUGAAAUUGAAAGUGUCUUCUUUUUGUGACUAGCCUUUUCAUGCUUAGGUUAUCAUCUUGUCGUUCAACUGAACAAAGCAUGCAACUGAUUAGAAGUGCCGCUCUACGAGGACAUAGAAAGACAAUAGUUUACGAAGUAGAUAGGAACCCGAACGUUACGUGGAAAUAAUUGAUAAAGAGAAAAUGAGAAAGUCAUCCAUAUGACAUUCAUAACAGGUAAUUACCACUAGAUAUGCAAUAUUUGGGAGGAUAGAGUUUUCUGUUUUACAUUUCUAUUUCAAUGUGCCAUCAGAUUCGGUAAUUCUAGAUUUAAUUCAUAUUGUGAUUCCUCUCAUUCUUCAUCCUGAUCUCUUUUACGUCAUUUCAGUUGCUUCGUUCUUGUACACCAAACAUGCCCUUACGGUUUUCUAGUGUAGGCAUCGGUAGUUUGUUUUCUUCUAAGAUAUUUUUGCUUCUUGGAAUUAAUGGUGACCGAGUAGAGUUUUCUCCAUCUUGCGAUUUGGGUGUAUUGAGGUGCUUGUGUGGUGUGUUAUGGAAGGAAGUUUCACAUCGGAGACAUGAUGUAAUUGUCAACGUGAAUUUUGAUGAAAAUGCAUCUAGACCGUAGAGUAGUGGUAUAGGAACUCAGAAAAUCUUUGAUAGAUUUUCCUGUGGAAACUUGUCGAAGAAAGGUAUCUGACUUUGCGUUCUGAAUAUGUAUGUCAACAGCUAUUUCGCCCGAGGUAUUUGUUUUUCUUCGGAGAGUGUGUGCAUCUACCACCCUUUUCUUUUUCUUUGUUUUUUGUUUUUUGUUUUUGUUUUUUUUUUUUUGUUUUGGUUUUUUUUGUUUUGGUUUUUUUUUUGGUUUUUUUUUUUUUGUGCAUCCAUGUGGUAGAAAUUCUAUAUUGGCAAAUAAUAGAAGUGCUAUGCCAUAAUUUCAAAUUAUUGGGGGAAGUUAUGAGUUGUGCGUCCAGUAGUCCUUCCUCGAGGAUGGGAUAACGCGGGUCUUGAAUGAAGCUACUAAUCAAGAUCCUUUUGUUCCCAUGCACGUCAAGACGCAAAAACAAUUUCGACGUAUUUUCUAUGGGAUUGCGCAGCCACCUGAUCCCGUUGCAAAGAGAACUAGCAAAAGGUGAGGAGGGUUCAUUGAGUAAAGAAGUAAAUUUUCUGGUCAAAGAUGAGCAGUCACGGCAGGAUCGUGUGUAUCCCACGCACAUCCGGCUCAUCUUCUAGGGCAAUAAUAGAAGAAGAAAUUUCCAAUAUCAACACCUUACAAAUGGAAAAGUUGCCAAGUACAAGGAGAUAAUUCCGUACCUCUUAAAGAUGGUAUCCCGUAAAAAAGUUAAUCUCCACCGGGAUUGGUGUGGCGAUGGGCUCCAAUUACAAAGAGAACUAACAAAAAUAUCACAGCGGGUAGUCUUGCCUAUUUCGGGGGAGGAAGGUUUGUUAUGGUGGUCUUGGUCAGAGGGUUAAAAGGAGUAGAAGUGCCUCGUAAAAAGAAGCGCCAUCCUCUGCAAGAUUGUGCGUCUCCUUUGGGGCAAGAGACUGAAGUAAAGCUUUAUUUAUGACAUGUUUGGUAAUGUUUCUAAUUCUCAAAAUUUCUAUUCUUUUUAUUUUCGAAAAUAGAAAAAGAAUGGAAAUUUAUUAAGUGAUGUUAGUUAAUUUUUUGAUUUCUUGAAAUAGAGAAUAGAUUUGAAACAAAAAUAAAAAGUAAAAAAGAGUUAUUUAUUUAUUUUCGAAAAUAAUUUUUGAAACAAAUCAUUUUUUCUUCUUUUCUUUUUCUUUCUCCUCUUUUAUGUUCUUUACGUAGUGCCCAUGAGUUUGGGGGCAUGGCCAACUCCGAAGUUAAUGAAAAGAAGACUAAGGUUCACUCGUAAGCACAAGAGAUUAUAUAGUUGAGCUUGAGGUUGAGCUAAAGCUAAACUUUAACUAGUCUAGUUUUAGUGUAAGAACCUUUUUUGUGGGUAGAUAUUACAUCAAAGUACAUUGAAAAUCACUUAUUAGGUUAUAGUUUUGUUUAAUUAAUUGAACAAUUCUAGUGAAGAAAUGAAAAAAAUGACGUCAGCUUUACUCCUGAUGGGACAUAGAAAUUAACAAGCUGUUAGCACUUGAUUAAGGUCAUUUAUAAACGUUUUUUUUUCCUCCACUGCACCCCAGUACGUAUUUGGUAAUUGUAAUCCUAAAUAGAAUACGCAUUUUCUAUGUGGCCUUAUAGUGGGCAUAGAGCUUCGUAUGGUCUCUUCGAAGGUCUUCCCCAGUAAUUCAGUAGAAAUUGUUAUCAAAAGUUGCCUCUGGUGCUGUGUUUUGUCACUUUGUGUCCAAACUUCUUUUGUUCGUAUCCUACGGUGGCUUUUUGUUCAUGAAAAUAUGCUUUAUUUUAGCAAACUGUAAGCUAACAUGCUUAGAGAAAAAUGUUUUAGGAACCUACAGUGUUUUGGACUUAGCAUUAAAACCAAAAAUCAUACUGAUCCAGAAGCAAUUAUCGUACCGAAAGGAAAAAGAGAAGAGAAACGGAGAAUAUAGAUAACAAGUCUUGGUCAGGUUGUUUGUGGGGUCAAGAGGCAUCAUUCCUUCAUAUGACAUAAGAUGCUAGAGAUCUUGAUUUUGUCUGUCAUUUUAAGGCGCGUUUGGUAAUGAUUCUGUUCCCGAAAACAAAUUAUGAUCAGAAAUGAUUUUUUUUAUUUUUUUAUUUUGUUUCCGGAAACAGAUUCUGAGCAAAAAAAUAUGUUUGAUAAUUAUACAAAAUUUCUGGUUCUAGAAUAGAAAAAAAAAAACAUAAAUGCGUUUGGUAAAUGCAUAAAAUUUUAAUUUUAUUCUUUUUUAAUUACCUUUUUAGAUGAGUGUAACUUUGAUAUUGAAUUCUCAUAAACCACUCACUAAUAUAAUUGUCUUCUUUUAUGAGUGAAGAAAUCAUAUUAUAUUUUAUUAUAUUUUCAAUUUCAAAUAAUUCGAAUUUAGAAUUCUAUUAUAUUUAAAAUUCUACCAAAUCAUAGACAUUCNNNNNNNNNNNNNNNNNNNNNNNNNNNNNNNNNNNNNNNNNNNNNNNNNNNNNNNNNNNNNNNNNNNNNNNNNNNNNNNNNNNNNNNNNNNNNNNNNNNNNNNNNNNNNNNNNNNNNNNNNNNNNNNNNNNNNNNNNNNNNNNNNNNNNNNNNNNNNNNNNNNNNNNNNNNNNNNNNNNNNNNNNNNNNNNNNNNNNNNNNNNNNNNNNNNNNNNNNNNNNNNNNNNNNNNNNNNNNNNNNNNNNNNNNNNNNNNNNNNNNNNNNNNNNNNNNNNNNNNNNNNNNNNNNNNNNNNNNNNNNNNNNNNNNNNNNNNNNNNNNNNNNNNNNNNNNNNNNNNNNNNNNNNNNNNNNNNNNNNNNNNNNNNNNNNNNNNNNNNNNNNNNNNNNNNNNNNNNNNNNNNNNNNNNNNNNNNNNNNNNNNNNNNNNNNNNNNNNNNNNNNNNNNNNNNNNNNNNNNNNNNNNNNNNNNNNNNNNNNNNNNNNNNNNNNNNNNNNNNNNNNNNNNNNNNNNNNNNNNNNNNNNNNNNNNNNNNNNNNNNNNNNNNNNNNNNNNNNNNNNNNNNNNNNNNNNNNNNNNNNNNNNNNNNNNNNNNNNNNNNNNNNNNNNNNNNNNNNNNNNNNNNNNNNNNNNNNNNNNNNNNNNNNNNNNNNNNNNNNNNNNNNNNNNNNNNNNNNNNNNNNNNNNNNNNNNNNNNNNNNNNNNNNNNNNNNNNNNNNNNNNNNNNNNNNNNNNNNNNNNNNNNNNNNNNNNNNNNNNNNNNNNNNNNNNNNNNNNNNNNNNNNNNNNNNNNNNNNNNNNNNNNNNNNNNNNNNNNNNNNNNNNNNNNNNNNNNNNNNNNNNNNNNNNNNNNNNNNNNNNNNNNNNNNNNNNNNNNNNNNNNNNNNNNNNNNNNNNNNNNNNNNNNNNNNNNNNNNNNNNNNNNNNNNNNNNNNNNNNNNNNNNNNNNNNNNNNNNNNNNNNNNNNNNNNNNNNNNNNNNNNNNNNNNNNNNNNNNNNNNNNNNNNNNNNNNNNNNNNNNNNNNNNNNNNNNNNNNNNNNNNNNNNNNNNNNNNNNNNNNNNNNNNNNNNNNNNNNNNNNNNNNNNNNNNNNNNNNNNNNNNNNNNNNNNNNNNNNNNNNNNNNNNNNNNNNNNNNNNNNNNNNNNNNNNNNNNNNNNNNNNNNNNNNNNNNNNNNNNNNNNNNNNNNNNNNNNNNNNNNNNNNNNNNNNNNNNNNNNNNNNNNNNNNNNNNNNNNNNNNNNNNNNNNNNNNNNNNNNNNNNNNNNNNNNNNNNNNNNNNNNNNNNNNNNNNNNNNNNNNNNNNNNNNNNNNNNNNNNNNNNNNNNNNNNNNNNNNNNNNNNNNNNNNNNNNNNNNNNNNNNNNNNNNNNNNNNNNNNNNNNNNNNNNNNNNNNNNNNNNNNNNNNNNNNNNNNNNNNNNNNNNNNNNNNNNNNNNNNNNNNNNNNNNNNNNNNNNNNNNNNNNNNNNNNNNNNNNNNNNNNNNNNNNNNUGGUUUUCCGAAGAGCAGCUUCCUGUAGCCAACACCAAAACCACACAGAAUUACUGGGAAAAUCUAGUUUUGAGAAAACAAGAGGUUUUCAGCGGGGGUCAGAGCUGUUUCCAUAUAAGUAUAUAGAGGUUUUGAACAGGGGUCAGAGCUGUUUUCAUACAUAUAUACAUAUAUAGAGGAUACAGUAGAUCUCUGCUCUUGAGACAAUUUAGGACAUGCGGCAAAGGAGCUAUCAAGAAAAGGUACUUACUUGCUUUGGCCAGGAUGAAGAUAACGAGUUCUGCAGCUCCAUGUGUCUAGCAGCAACGUCCUUAAACCCCUCUUCCAACUUAACUUCAUGGUGCUUUUUUUCCUCAAGCGAACUCACCAAUCUGUCCAGAAAUCUACAAUUCGGAGAAACAAAGGAGUUAUUAAAGUAUGUUCUCCUUUGUAUAUAGGAAAUAGAAAGUAGACUGGCACCUCUCCAACUUCCUAUAGUGAAAGUGACGAAUUUCAUACACUUUGAAAAACUGAAUAGAAAUUGCAAUGAACAGACCAUCAAUCUGAAAGAAUAUCUGAAAGCACCUUUUGGAGUAUCAUGAUUAAGUCUUGAGUUUUCCUGUUUGUCAGCAGAGAAAUAGCCAGUGAAACGUCUGAAACCAUUGUCUCGAUGGCAUCAGCCGCAAACUGCUGUAGAACAAAGGGAGCAACUGACUGGACUUGAUGCUGCAAAGAUAUGUAUCUGAUUCCUCAACUCUGCUAUCGCUGAUGGAGAAGGCUUUGAUCUGAUGAAAGUACCAAAUUAGGCAAGAACAAGAGAUGUUGUCCAAAACAAUGUCAGUACAAUCUUUGCAAAAUACAAUAAAUCUGGGAGGUGACCAUGAGAUGAACCAUAAAUUGGGAAAGAACAAUUGAACGACGCAACAAACUAAACACUAUCUCAUAGAGAUCAUCGAGAAUCUUAUUUCUAUACUCUGUAUCUAGAAGCUGGCUUCGACCUUCCUUUGUUUCUGCAGCUUGUGAAAUAGUUGGUGAAUUAACUGCACCCACAUUGGGCAAGCUAACAUCAUCAAUGACAUCAACUUGAGGUGUCUCAACACUAACAUCCCAAGAUAUCUCUGACACCGAUGCGUCCUGUCCAGCAUUGCUUGGUUGAAUUUGAUUAUGCUCGACAGCUUCAUUGACCUCACUUGCCGUGACGAUUUCAUAAGUACCAAAGCCAUUACUGCCGUCAUCAGUUUCUUCCACAGUCCCAAUAUCCCAAUCAAUUGCAGCAUUGUCUACCGAGAUAUCCCAGUCAAUAUUAUCUGCAGCAGCAUCCACAUCACCUCCUAUCUCAUUGAAGCCUGAUUGAGUAUUUGCAGAGUCUGUGAUAUCAGAGACAGCAGAAACAUUCAAAGAUGGUGGAUUUUCACGAAUGUCUAUCAAGUUUGGUACAACACUCUUAGGACAUAUCUGCAAACAUGUCUCAAUAAAUUAAUCUUUACAUCAGACCGAAAACCAAUAAAUGGAUCUNNNNNNNNNNNNNNNNNNNNNNNNNNNNNNNNNNNNNNNNNNNNNNNNNNNNNNNNNNNNNNNNNNNNNNNNNNNNNNNNNNNNNNNNNNNNNNNNNNNNNNNACUUCCAGAAUUCUGCUAAAUGUGCUCGGAAGUGACUUUGCAGUUUCCAAAAGUUCAAACCUCACAUUUGUUCCCUGAAAAGCAGACAUGGAUGCCCUUUAAUCCUAUCUAAAGGAAAGGUUGCUAUUCUUUAGCUUGGUAGAAGCACACACCCAAUAUCUUAAUAGACUAGAUUCAAAAGUUUAACCUGCAAACCAAGCUCUUGACAAGCCUCCACAUAUUUAGCUGCUGACAGAGCUGCAUUUCUUUUGAUAUCAACUUCUCUACGCUCUAGCUCUGCUAGUUGCUGCUGAAUCUUCUGAACUUGUUUCCUCUGAUAGGGGCUUCACAUCAUAUUAAUUAUCAAUGAUAUGAUUAUGCCUAUCACAGAAAAACAUAUUGCAAUGUACUCUACACAUCUUAUCCUCCCGGCAAAACAUAUCAUAAUUGACAUUUUGGAUCAUUAUCUGAGCAGCUUCGCCUAAAAAUAUAUGAUCUUUCUCGAAAGAACAAACAAUUGUCUCCCAAGCACCCUGCCACAAUUCUAAAUCCAAUGCGAGAAUUAUCCUUUAGAUCACAGAAGAGUGUGUGUGAGCGUGAGAGAGAGAGAGAGAGAGAGAGAGAGAGAGAGAGGUCUUACAGCGGCACCUGAUAGCCAGCCAGAUCGGCGUGGGCGCCCGCCACUCGAGCCUGGUGGCGCUCCCACCAGCCGUCGCAGACGACGAACGAUGGCGAUGGUGAGCAAGCCGUCACCCAAAUCAGCCGACAACCACCCAUAGCUGCGAGUGAAGGGAACUCACCUUGAACGAGCAGUUUCAACGAUGAAGAAGCAGCAGUCGCCGUCGGUCGCAGUUCUUGAGGAGAGAAUGACUUUUGUGACGUAAGAAGAAAAAGAAAGGGUUUGAGCAGAGGAGAGGAGAGAACGCAUGGGAGAGAACGUCGAGCAAAGGAGAGAAGAGUUCCACUUUUUUUUUUUUUUUCGAAACAAGAAUUAUUUUUUUUUAUUCUUGAUUUUACUCAAAAUUGUUUCCAAAAGUAAAAAUUUUAUCAAGCGCGAUUCUGUUCCCAAACUAAUUUUAGGAACAAAAAAUCAGAAUCAGAUACUGUUUAGAUGGUUACCAAACAAUACCUUAGUAGCUAAUACUCGCAAGGUUGAUUCACUAGCUGUCUACAUGGACUUUGAUUCAAUUUCUUUGAAGCUCAAGAUAAGUCCAAGUUUUGAGCCAAGCUCGAAUCUACAAGUAUUAAGUCGAUAUAUCGAUUGCCAAUUUAUUUCCUUUGUUGCUUAAAUAUUGCCUAAGUAUUUGUUUGAAAUUGACGAAGUAAUACUUUUUUUUCCUUAAUUUACCUUUCUACUUUUAUAUUCCUUUUCAUCUGACGAUCUCCAAAAAAAUUGAAAAAAUAGCAUUUGCAACACUACUUUACUUUCUGGCCAGAAAAAGAAAAUGGAUAAUUAUGUACACCAAAGGAAAAUUAGGAUCCGUAAGGUAAUUUACUAACAAACUGAAAAUAGACAAAUCAUUAGACAGGAUUCGGUCCCAUCUUCCCUUCUCAUCUGGUCACUGUCGAGUGUCGAUCAUUCGACUUAAUUCUUGCCGUUCUUUAGGUGGCUUUGGGUUGUCCCCAAGCAUUUUGCUAGCGAGCCGAACUCGAGUCAAGAAAACAAUACUCGAUCAAGUUCCGAUUUUUGAGUGCCACGAUCCGACUCGAAUACACGCAUUUGUGCACAUUUUCUGUGGCAAGUUUCGCCAUUACGAGCGAGACAGAUAAUGACAUUCGGGGACGAGUCCCACAUAGGAAAGCAAAUGGUCGCAGCGAAACGAAAGGAUACCGAAGUCAGAAAAGCAUAUUAUACACAUUGCACGGGCUAGUUAGCUUCAAACUUGCGAACAAGGGGUGUCAAAAAAACCCGACCCGAACCGACCCGACCUAAACACGACCCGAACACAAAACAAGUUGAGUAUGUGUUUCGGGUCUUAGAAUUGUUCGGAUCACAUAUACAGAACAAGUAAAGAAAUAUGUUUCGGUUUGGGUCAGGGUCGAACAAUGUUUCGACCCGAAACAUGUUAAUUCCAAAUUCCAAACAAGCUGAGAAACACAAACACGUUCUGAUCUUUUACCGCUGAGAAACACAAACAAGUAAAGAAAUCCCUCGUAGUCUUCGGCUCCGCCUUCUUCUCCGACGACUGCGCCUUCUCGUGGAUUCUGCUGCCGCCCUCCGAUCGACGCGCCGCCGCCUCGCAGUCGCCGUCGCCGUCGCCACCCUCGUCUCAACGCCGGAACCCAAGCCGCUGCCAAAUCAAUCGAUCGUCGCCGUCCGUCGCCGAAAACCCUUCCCUAUCCCCUGUUAAGGGUCGAGCUGAAAUUUUGACGUUUAGGGUUCGAGUUCUAUGGGAGCUGUUGUUCCUGGAGAUUGGACAAGUCUUUGACCGUGGAGGUACGCCAUUCAUGCUUCGUCUCUGCGCAUAGCUUUUGCUUCUUGAAUUCGCCACCGUUUCUUGCUUUUUUUCCACCAAUGGCUCCGCCUCUUGGGUCGAGUCCACUCAGUCCAGGACAGCAGCACCGGGCUCUGUACCCAUCUGCGCGCGCCGGGUUCCCCUCUCGUUCCGUCCUCGGUUCGGGUUCUUGGGUGUGUCGUAGAUCGGUUCCUCUGCUUGAAACGCGAUUCUCUCGCGAUUGCGAUCGAGCGGACGAUAGUCAUGCAAAUGUUCAAUUAGAUUGUUUAGAGAUGUUAUUUGAGAUCAAGAUCGUCUAUUAGCUGUAUUUCAGUAUAAAUAAGUCCAAGUCUCUAACUCAUUAGCUUUCUUCAUUCAAUAAACAUGAUUGGGUUCUUCAUAAACCAUUAAUAUCUUUUUUUCUGUUCCAGCUUCAACUCAACUCUAUUUUAGCCCUGGUUUUUGGUCUUAUGCGAUCUGUCGCUUCUCAACUAAGUCACUAGUAUAGGAGGUUCUUGUUAGAGUUAUUCCUACAUCAUGUUAGGAGCUUAAUAUUUGUACUGGGGCUCAAUCCAUGUGUAUCGAGAGUGAGUACUAAGAGAUUCCACCGUGUGAAAUAGCUUGCAAAAAUCAGCAACAUUUACUGACUUUGAUCUUGCUGAUAAUAGGACAGGCAAGCUAAUUGAAACAUCCUGCUAGAUCAUGCAUCAAAAUAGCACAGAAAUGCACAGAAGAGAGCCGCCUAUAGGAAAUAAUGGAACUUUAAGAAUACUGCCACGCACACUAGUCAAGAAUACCACUUCCCCUCUGCUUAAUGUAUGAUUAAUGUGCUUCCGCAAUGAAAGAAGCAGAUAAAAGACAUUCUACAUACACAGUAGCAGUAGGAGAAUAUAGUCAAACGCUUUUUAGAUAUAAAAUGCAAGAGAAAUCAAUAGAACCAUUGGGGAGACAGGGUGAGUAGGUUAAGUUCUAUUAUGCAUUCAUCUGUAAAGUUUAAGAGAAAUUUACAGAUGUAAGUGUGGGUUUAUAGUGUCUACAGAUUUUAAGUUUUGGGUUGAGACAGGGUGAGUACUGAAUCUUUCCCCAAUCUGGUUGACCUUGCUGUGUUUGAACUGGUGCAUGAAGCUUGUAAUGGAGGGCAUGCUUUGCACCAUAAUGUGCGAUUCCCUUAUAUGCUAUAAUGAUGCAAUACAAUGUGUUUUUUACAUUGGAAUUUUGUUCUAUCACUAGAUCUUUUAUUGGCUUUGGUCACGACAUAAUAUUGUCUUUCUGAGCAGAGACCAGCGACACACUUAAACUCCAUCUCAAGGACAUUGGGUUAGAAUUUUCUUGGCAAAAAUUGCACUUGCAUCUGGAGUUUUAGCUUUCCUCUAGCUCUACACCUGUAUCCAAGGGUAUGUCUCUUUUAAUCAGGUUCAGUAAUGGCAUUUCCAAGUCUUGGUUGAAAGCAAUUCUUUGCUGUUCAUCCUUCCCUGGAUUUAUAGAAGAUUGGUGUACAGCCAUUUAUCAAACUUUCGAUGUCUUGUCUCUUCUAUUUGUCUCAGCAAAUAUCUCUUCCUUUAGGAAAGAGUGAGAAAGAUUAUAGUUACAUAAUUAUUUUCUUGUAAUUUUUGCAGGCUAAUGAUAAUUUGCACCCAGAAUUGGAGGAAGAUGUUCGAGAGGAAUGUGUGAAACUUGGCCUGUGGAUUCCGUAAAGGGAAAAUUUAGAGCUCUAUCGCCGUUUUGCCAAGAGUCAAGCACCUCCAGUAGAGGUAACCAGAACCAAUGCUGCCGUUCCUGAUGCAACAUCUGAAGUUUUGAGUGAUGAACAGCUCGCUUUGUUAGUCCACACGUUAUGGGUAUUGAGUGGGCUGAUGGAACUCCUAUGAGAUAUCAAUAUGAAGAUUUGUGUGAAAAAGAUUGAGGGCUUGUGGUUUUGUUGCUGCAGUGUAUGGUAGUAAUUCAAUUCGCAAUUAGGGGGUAGUUGAUGACUAUGGAAACAUGACUGUUGCAUUUACUGUGAGGCCAAACUCAAAGCUUGCAUGUUCUUCUCGAUUGUGGGUCGGGGGUCCUGGGAUACUGAUCUUGAUUGCUGAUUCAUGGAAUAAAUUCUCAGUUAAAUCAGAGUUUAGAACAUUUAAAAUUAGUCCAGUUGGAGCUGUGUGCUUAUCUGGUGUGGGUCUUUUUUUUCGUGGAUUGGACCGCGGGACAUAUUGCAUAGCAGUCGGCUAGUUCAGGUCUUUAAAAGGGAGAAAAUUUUGCAAGAUAGCAUUUUUGGUUGUCCAAGCAUAUAUAAGCAAGAAAUCCCAAUUACCAAGAGCUUCGUCCAUAUUCAAUGGUAUCGAUUCUGCCAUUAGACUAGCAUUCAGGAGCUCGCAUUUAGCUUGAUACGUGUUGAGCGAUUUUCUAAAUGGUAAUACCUAGUUGAAAAACAAGCAAAACAAAAUGAGCGAUAUUCUUAAUUAAGUAUUUGGACUUUACAAAGACGCAGAAAAACAAAAAAUAAAAAAAUGACUAAGUGUAACUCGUAUUGGGUUAAAAAUGCUUACAUUUUAAAUGGAACAAAUAGAAAAAAGAAAAUCCAAGACUGGAUGGGUUAGGUACCCACUAUAAAAAUAAUGACAUUUUAAAUGAAAAAAAAAAAAAAGAGAGGAAAACACAUAAACCCGACCCGACCCGAAUUUCCGAUGCAAGUCUAAUGUGUUUCGGGUCGGGUCGGGUCGGGUAACAUCAAAACCCGACCCGACCCAACCCGUUUGAUCCUGCCUAGCUUUGUAUAGGACCCAAAACCUAGAUAUGUAAGAAAUAUUGAUACUAUAUAUAUACAAAAUAUAUAUUAUGGAAUAGAAAGAAAUUCGAUAUAUAUUGUUAUUUUAAAAUUUUCAUUAUAUAUUAGAAUAAAAAUAUUAUUUAUAUUUAAUUUUCAUUAAUUUAAAAAGUUUGUUAUUUGAGAAAAAUAGUUUUUGUACCAUAAGUAUAAGAAAUUCUAUCUACCUUCCUCAUACUUUCUAUAGGAAAAUUUCAUCUUGACUAUGUUUUUAUAUAUCCAACUUUAUUCUAUCUUAAUACACUAAAUACGAUACAUUACACUAUCCUAUCUUGAUUUUUUAAUUAGGCUCAUUCAAUUAUCGGUCAAUCGUAAGAUUGAGCAUUCAGAACUAACUUUUCUACCGAGUGCAAUGGCCAUCUGAUUCUUGGGGUAGCUUCUACUAUAUAUAGCCCAGACUUGAGUCUCUCUUCGCUUGGAGCGAAAAAGGUGUAAGUCCUCUGGCUUGGCCACAGCGGAUGAUGGAUAUCUUGGCCACAGGGUCAUAUUCAUUAUUCAGGCAUCAGUGCACCUACUAAAGCAUGCUCAGCCACUUGCAAAAUUCUCAUCAUACGGUCAACAGCCAUAGCUACAUUACACCGGACGUAUAUACCAUGCAUGAUAAGCAACCAACUUCUUCUUUUCAGAUGAGACAACGGCAUUUUUCUUCUCUGGUCCGGCCAUGAUUCUCUCCAGAACAUUGGAUAUCUCACGUUUAGCCACGUCUCCAGUUCACAUGUGCUCUGGCGUUUAGCCCCGUCUCCAGACGAAGCAUCUAAGCUAACCAGAGGCUGCCACCUCCAACUUCCUGGGAUCGUAGAUGAUAUCCAAACAGGAGUCUCCAGGUGGGCAUCCCUACCCGAGUCAACCUGAUGAGGAACUUCCAAGUAUCAUUGACUAUCCACAAACAUAUGUACCUGUAUAUUAUGAAAACCAUAUACAAUAUGAAGCAUAAGAAGAAAGACGGUCUUGUAUGGCAUCCGCCAUAUAAGAGAAGAUAAAUACGACUUAAAAGCAGCAAACAUGCAAUAUGACUUUGCCAUCACCUGUCUUCCUUGAUCAAUAUCACUACAUAUCUUUGGAGCAAAAAAUAUGGUAUUGGAUGUCGAAACCUUAUUCUCAUUAGAUGAAGAAGACCCAUCCCAAAUAAGUUAUAGUCAACCUGCCAUUAAUUAACCUCAAGUGCAUCAAGAAACACACAUAUGAAAGAUAGCAAGUCUGGGCAUGAGGGCACUAAUGACCCAUCCUUGCAAACUCACCCACUAUAGAACCAGAGAAAGGCAAAUUUGGAUAAGAUAGAAAGACAAACUGAUGUCGAGCAGAUAGGGAAUAUGCGAUUCAUGCGGCUGCAAACUUCUGUCAAAUACUGCCCCUCCCUAGAAAAUGAUGUUGGACCAUGAAUAAAAAAGAAAUAGACAAACAAGAUGACUAUAGGCACGUGUAUUGCAUGACACAUUUUUUUUUUGUCAAAACAUAUAUAUUUAUUACAAGCUUUUUUUACAAGAAAACCUUCCUCAUAGAAGAUAACCUUUUUGGAACAAAUCCAAAUACCAUCCCAAUUUUCAUGCACAUACCAAUUUUCAUCCACUACUUUUAAAACCACCAAUUCAAGAGUGUUGUUAAUAUUGAGAUGGGGGAGGGGGAGGGAGAGAGAGAGAGAGAGAGACUGGCAAUAGAGGUUUAAGACAGCUAGAGCGCAGCCAAAGAUGGCAACUGGUGGCUGUGAAGCCUUUGAGUGGUGUGAUUGGUGGAGAUGAUUAGGUUCGGGUUUAGAAUUUGGAAAUGAUUUUGGGAUCUUUUCUAAAGUUUGUUGAAGGAAGGGCAAUUUGGUCUUUGGACUAUGCAGUUUGGGCCUAAGAUGCAAUUUGCGAAUUUCAAAAUUCAAGUAUGUAAAGUGAUUUUUGCGUGAAAUCUUAGCCUGGUAUUCAGAAGUUUGCCUUUUUUUUUUUACCAAAACUAAUAUCUCAAUUUACAAGGUUUUCUUUCGAGAAAACUUCCUUGCAUCUCAGAAAAUGUUCAACAGAACAAACUCCAAUGGCCGCAUUAAAUGACUAGUGGACUUCCACUAAUACAUUUAUAUUACUCUGUCAAAGAACAAAAUAUAUGCUAAUUUUCUCAGGCCUCUCAAUAAAUCAAAACUUAAUUGCCAAAUUUUCGCCCAUAUAUUUCUGGGAUGCCCCAAAUAAUAUAUGAAUAGCAAAUGCUUUCUUUUUAUCAUAAAACAAAAAUUUAGUUAUCAGGCAUGCACACUCCAGAUCGAAACAAUGAAUACACUUGAAGGCAUGCAAUUGAAGAAGCCAAAGAUGACAAGUACCAAAUCUAGAGCAAAAUGGUGAAAACUCUUUAGUAUUCCAAAGCAAGACCAAUUCCAAUGAGGCACUAUUGAUAGAGAAAGAAGAAUACCAAAAGAAGCUUGGCAGCACGUGAGACAUCAUGUGGAUGAUAGCUAAAGCUUCAGUCAAGGUGCCACAAAGAUGUUGCUAUGGAAUAUUCAGGCAGAAAAAUAUAGAUACACAAGCUGUCAUUUAUGGAUACAGGUAUAUCUUGACAAACAGCUCUUCAGAUGCAUGAUAACCAUAAAAUCUCCUUGCUCGUACAAGGCUGCAACCAUGCACGUGUUGCCGUUUUACGCCAGUAUUGCCUUUGAGCUGCAGUAAAUCACAAAACAAUCCUUUCAGAUACAUACUAGCAAGUGGAUCGCACAAUAAGUUAAAGCCAGGACUUAAUACUUUUGAAGAAUGACAAAUUAUACCUUCAACGCUUUCUCCAUGGCUAGAGAGACCCCCUGUGCAAUUCAACAGUGACCAAUUAAUUCCAUGCUAGUAGCAGAACAGUAAGAGACUAGUUUAAAAAGGGACAUGAAUUCGAAAUAUAUAAAAGCACGAAUAAUUCAAACAAAUUGAGAUAAAGUCUACAGCAACGUUAUAUUACGAGGACAUUGACAAAAACCGGUCAAGUAAAACCACAGCCAUUUUGCCAAAAGAACAAAUCACCCUGAAAACACACAAGCUACAUGCUAGAGGUAUUGUGAACUGAGAGAAACGUUGAUUAAUUUCUUCAAACCAGGAUAUGCACAAAGCAGCCCAUGCAUCUGUAACACGCACAAGUACCUUCAGAUGUUGGAUGGAUAGGUAUAUCUGUACAUGGUACAUACAAAUAGGGUAAAGCCUACAAGAAAAAAAAAAACAUGAUUUAGAACCAGUAUGAAAAAAAUGUACAAGAUAUUGCUGUCUCAUAAGCUAUGCCAUGGACAAGCAUCAUGUACUUUUCACAAUAGAUUGCUUGGAGCCACGUAAGCUCCUCAUUUGCUAUUUAGACAUUCAACUAGUGUCCAGCCAGUCAAAGAAAGUAGACUGUUGCCAAUAUGGUGCCUCUUGCGAGCAGAAAGGGAAAGAAACUUUCUGCAUCCUGAAAUUGCCUUUUAUCUUGAAGCAAUACCUCAACUCAAGUCUGUAAACCCAUGCUGGUUUAAAUUCUUCAUCGACAGAAAGGAAGUUACUUUCAUUGCUCCACAGCUCAAGGGGGGUAAAGCAAGUACUUGGAACAAUUAAAAAACUACAAAUAAACAAGGACUACACUCACCUUAUGCACAUGUAAGCAAGUUUUUGACCAGCAGGAGUUGAACCAUCUACUCUUAUUACAGGAACCUCAUUCACUUUUUCACCUUCAUCAAUCAAUCAUGAACAAGAUUAUGAACAUACAAAAGUAAAUAUUUGUAGCUAAAUUUCUAGCUACUGUAUAGUAAAUGUAACUGUUAUUUUUGCAGGUUAAAGGUCAAAUCCUCGCACAGAAUUUUAAAGAUUGACAUGGCACUACGCCACAUAAAAACUGUAAGUGCACCUUCUUCUCUUUGCAUCAGCAACAAAAAAGCAAAUUUCAAAUACGUCAUCAUCAAGACAACUACGCUCUCCAAACAAAAAGUAAUCUUCAGUCUAGGGAAGAAGACGGUGAGUUGAACAAUGCCCACCAAAUAUUAAGAAAAAUAUUCAAUACUCUCUGGAUUUUCUAAGCAACCAAACCAAUCAUGUAAUAAAUUAUGAAGACACCAAUGUGCUGAUUCCAUGACUCUGUGCUACAAUUUUAAUCAAUCUUUACGUAUAUCCAUGCCAAGCAAUUACUUAACAUCAAUCCAGCAGCCCCAACAAGAAGUCCGAAUAAGACAUCCACGGACAAACUGAUAAGUUCUUCAUAACAGAACACUAAGCCAAACAUAAUCCUUGCACUCAUAAGAAAGCAAACAGACUUUUGUCUGCAAUGCAGUAACUGAUUAAGUCCUACUAUAGCAAACAAAAUUAACAGCUUCCAGAUUCAAACCACAAGCUUCUCUGGCAUUUCCUACUCACCACUAGAUUCCAUAAUCAAAGAAGCGAACAUAAAAAUUAUGCUUCGAAAGAUGAGAGCAGAUUUUCAUUCUUUUUUUUACCGAAGACGCUUUACAUACAUUUUAUUACAAUAAAAACAUAGAAUAACUUCAAAAGCAUCGCUGUUCCUAGGAGAAGACAACAUCAAGACCCAUUCUAAGACUCCAAUUAAGCCACAGCUCCAGGAAGCAGCAAGACCCAACAACAUUACUGCGUGGCAACUACCUAUUACCAUCACGGGCACAGUAAAAAAACGAGUCUUUCCAUCUGUUUUCGUGCUUCCCCUAAUGCCCAUAUUCCACAGUCUCAUUCUUUUCUACUAAAGACACGUUAGAUACAAAUUAUUACUAUGAAAACAUAGAAUAACUUCAAAAGCACCGCUGUUCCUAGGAGAAGACAACGUCAAGACCCAUUCUAAGACACCAAUUCAGCCACAGCUCCAUGAAACGGCGAGACCCAACAAAGUUCCCACCCGCGGCUACCUGUUGGGUAUAACGGAUCCCCAAAAACCGGAUUCGACACUAAAUCGAACCCCUAAACCAAUGCGGAAGACGAGCCCGAGAAAAACAACACGUAUCACCGAUCCUAAAGCACACCACGGAUUCGAGCGUACCUUUUAAGCCACAGAUUAAACACCGACGCCGAUAGAGGAAGAGAAACUUGGCCCUGCUCGAUCCGAUGAAACAAAUUCGCCUUUGCGCUUCACCGUUUUCUUUUUGGGAGAGAACAAGAGAGAGAGAGCGUGAGAGGAAAAAGACGUACGUUCGUUUUGUUCCAACAAGUGUCUUCUCUCUCUCUCUCCUCCCUUUUAUACGUCCCUCCAUCCACGGGCCCUAUUCCCGUGGGCCGGGCUUUUUGGGUCCAACUUGGGCGAAUGGGCCUUAAGCCCAUCGCUAAUAAAACCAUCAUCUUCCACUCGCACAUGGUGGGCCGAACAUGAUUCUCUUUACCUCUCUUCAACAUUCAUACCGGUGAAUAAUCCAUGCGACCAGCAUAUUUUGAGAGCUCGUUGCUAUACAUCUGUUAGAAAUAUAUAGCAGCUCAUAAUGGGCGUCAUGCUUUGAGUAGAUUUAAUAUGCAGUACCCUAAAUCGAUUGAUCACAUUAAUAUCUCUCUUGAUCUCUUUUAUACAAUGAUAUAUAUAUAUAUAUAUAUAUAUAUAUAUAUAUUGUAUUCACAAUUAUAAUUAUCACAAAGACAGUCAUAAUUGGUCGACCAGUGAAUACAAAACUACAAUUUGAUUCUGCAAAAUCGAUCUUCCUCUUUCCUUCAAACUCUCAAUUUCAGUUCAGCUUGCUUUUCUAGAAAUGUCCCAUUAGAUCGAAUCAACUCAUGACCAUUGGCAACAACCUAAGAUAGCAAACACUAAAUAGAAAUCUUGAGAAUAAGUAAGAGUCAUGAGGGGACUUAAAUUGAGGAACUCUUUUCCUCAAGAGUCUCACACGUCAUAAAAGUUGAGAUCAAACUUUUUGCCACUCUUAUUGGUCGUCUCAUGCAUAUAUAGUAUGAAAUACGUAUUACAGUAUUAACUCCUUUCUCAUGGAGCGUAUGUCUACAUUUUUCAAUACCGUACAGAUGAUAGUUCAGACAUACCCAAUGUCUAACUUGAGUUCACGUACCUACUCAUUCACAAAAUUCAACAGAACUCACAUCUGGCAUCUUAGACAGAUAAACUAAAAUAUGUGGGGUAUUUUACUUUCGGACAUCACAAGCAUUAUGUCCUCAUCUUAACACUUAGUUAAGGCGACAUGCGUAUUUUAAGCUUGAGCUCUCGAUUAUCACAUAGAUAAUAAGCUUAAAUACAGUCUCAUCUCUAUUUAUCACACAGUAAAUAGAGGCGAUUACCCGUGCGAGUGGGCUAAUCUUUUAUCUGUCCGACAUACUUCCUCAACUUAUAAUAAUACACUGAGUAUUAAGAUGCAUAAAGAUCAUACAAGAUUCAUAGGCAUUAAUCAAUGAAGAAACAAAAUUUCAUAUAUGUGAACAACUCAGGGAAAUUACAAUUCAGUACAUUAGACUCUACGCAAUCCUAGAGAUUUUACAUGACCACAAAACACAUCUCUAGGUAUUGGCUUUGUCAUAGGAUCUGCUACCAUUCUAUGCGUAGAUAUGUACUGUAAGUUCACAUCCUUUCAUGCAACUAUAUAUUUUACAAAGUUAUACUUGGUAUCUAUAUGUUUGGUCUUGCCAUGAUACUUUGGAUCUUUGGUAAUAAUUGAUUUGUAGCUUUCUCAAUAACACCUAAAUGAUUCAAGAAUCUCUUAAGCCAAACUCAUUCUUAUACCGCUGCUGUAAUGUCAUGAACUCAGCUUCCAUCGUGGAUAAGGCUAUGCACGUUUGUUUCUUACUACUCCAUGAUAUGGCGCCAUUGUUCAGUAAGAAAGCAAAUCCUGAGGUAGAUUUUCUUUCAUCUAAAUCUCCUCCCCAAUCAGCAUCUGAAUAGCCUUCAAGUCGUAGAUCAUUUCCUUGGUAAUUCAACUUGUAAUCAGCAGUUCCCUUCAGAUACCUCAGUAUUCUCUUAACGGCUUUCCAAUGUGCUAGAUCUGGAUUGGAUUGAUAUCUACUCACCAUUCCAACUGCAAAACAUAUGUCGAGUCUUGUACACAUCAUAGCGUACAUCAAGCUCCCAACAUCACUAGCAUAAAGAAAGUGUUUCAUUUGUUCCUUCUCUUGUGGAGUCUCUGGACACAGUUUAUGGCUCAAUCCUUCACCUUUUGCAAUAGGAGUGUCUAUGUGUUUACAAUCUUGCAUACGAAAUCGUUUAAGAACCUUAUUUAUAUAUGUUUCUUGUGAAAGAGACAACGAUCUCUUCAAAUCUUUACUCCAAGAAUGUAUGCAGCUUCACCCAUGUCCUUCAUCUCAAAGUUGGAAGACAACCAACUCUUGACAGUAUUAACAAACUCCAUAUUGCUUCCGGCAAUCAGUAUAUCAUCAACAUAUAAUGAUAUGAUCACAAAUUGAUCAUUGGAUCUUUUGAUAUAUACACAAUGAUCCUCAUCAAUCAUUAUAAAAUCAUAUGCCAUUAUGGCAUUAUGAAAACGUAUAUACCAUUGUCUCGAUGACUGCUUAAGGCCGUAUAUCGAUCUCAAAAGUCGACAUACCUUUUCUUCUUGGCCUUUCACUAUGAAACCAGCAGGUUGUUCCAUAUAUAUUUCUUCCUUUAAUUCUCCAUUGAGGAAAGCAGUCUUUACAUCCAUAUGAUGUAACUCAAGAUCCAUGCUAGCUACUAUUGCCAGAAUAAUGCGAAUCGAGGUAAAUCUCACUACAGGAGAAAAUGUAUCUUCAUAAUCAAUUCCUUCCUGUUGAUUAUACCCCUUCGCCACAAGGUGAGCCUUAUGCCUUUCUAUCGAGCCAUUAGCCUUUCGCUUUAUUUUGAGAACCCACUUGUUCCCAAUAGCUAUGCGUCCUUUUGGAAGAUCAACCAGUUCCCAGACUUGGUUUGAUUUCAUUGACUCCAUUUCCUCUUCCAUUGCAUGAAUCCAUUUUUCCUUACUAGGGCAAUUCAGAGCCUCAUUAAUAUUUCUUGGCUCAUCCUCAUCUUGUGGAGCAACCAUAAAAGUUUCCCCUUCAAUGCCAAAAUGUCGAUGGGGAAUACUUUGGCGACUUGUUCGCCGUAUGGGAGAUUGUACACUUUGCACAUCAUUCCCUAUCAUGCUCCCACUUGGAUUAGGUAAUGAUGAUGUCAUCUCAUCAUGUGGUUGCAAUUGAGAAUGAGUUGAAUUCAAUUCAUCACUUCUCAUAUUACUCCCACUUGGACGAACUCCACUAACAUCAUUAUCCUAAUCCAAGGUCUCAAAUAGGGAACAAUCUUGUGGAGCAACCAUAAAAGUUUCCCCUUCAAUGCCAAAAUGUCGAUGGGGAAUACUUUGGCGACUUGUUCGCCGUAUGGGAGAUUGUACACUUUGCACAUCAUUCCCUAUCAUGCUCCCACUUAGAUUAGGUAAUGAUGAUGUCAUCUCAUCAUGUGGUUGCAAUUGAGAAUGAGUUGAAUUCAAUUCAUCACUUCUCAUAUUACUCCCACUUGGACGAACUCCACUAACAUCAUUAUCCUAAUCCAAGGUCUCAAAUAGGGAACAAUCUUCCCCUACUUCGCCCUUCUUAGGAAAUUCAUCAUCUAAGAAUGUGACAUCUCGUGAUUCAAAUUCAGUUAUACUUCCAUUUUCCUGCUCACUUAUGAACACAUACUCUUUUGAGUGUUCUGAGUACCUUAUGAAAAUACUCUUCUUUCCUCUGGGACCCAAUUUCCCAAACUUAUGAGAGGACUCAUGUGUAUAGGCAGCACAACCCCAUGGCUUAAGAAAACUUAAGUCCGGUUUUCUACCUAUCCAUAACCCAUAUAGAGUGGAAGUAACUAAUUUGGAAGGCACAUGGUUAAGUAUAUACGCAGUAGUUAACAACGCAUCACUCCAAAAGGUAAUAGGUAAGUUAGCAUGCGCCAUCAUGGACCUAAACAUUUCCAGUAGGGUUCUGUUUCUUCUCUCUGUAACACCAUUUUGUUGAGGAGUAUAUGGAAUAGACAACUGUCUUUCUAUUCCUUUUUCAUCACAUAAUUUUCUAAACUCAUCAGAUAAAUAUUCUCGACCUCGAUCAGAUCUCAAUACUUUUAUUUUCUUGUCUAAUUGAUUCUCUACCAGGUUCAUAAACCUUUUGAAACAACUUAUUGCUUCAGAUUUAUGAGAAAUCAAAUAGACUUAUCCGAAUCGAGUAUAAUCAUCUAUAAAAGUGAUGAAAUAAACAGCCCCAUGCCUUCCUCUCACAUUCAUUAGACCACAGACAUCAGAAUGGAUUAAAUGCAGAGGAAAUUAAGCUCUUUUACCUUUUCCAAAUGGUUUCCUUAUCGUUUUCCCUUCUAGGCAAUGCUUAUAUAUGGGCAAAUCAACUUUUUCAAUAUUGCCCAACAAGCCCUCUUUGGCUAGUCUAUUCAUACGCUGUUGGCUAAUGUGACCAAGUCUAGCAUGCCACACAUUCACAUCAUUAUCAUAUGUAUUAGGAGACGUGAGAAGGGAAUAACAAACAUUUGCAUUAACAUAAUCAAUAUCUAAUACAAUGAAACCAUCCAGAAAAUAACCACAACCAUAGUAAUUUGUAUCCAAAAACAAAUUGACACCUCUAUUAUAGAAGUUCAUAUUAAAACCUAAUUUAACCAACACUAAAACAGACAUUAAAUUCCGACAAAUCUCUAGAGCAUACAACACAUCAUGUAGGAACAAAGUGCGUCCACCACGCAUAUUCAGUUGGCAUGUGCCAAUUCCUUUCACUUCAGCUCUGGAGUUGUUUCCCACAUAGAUCCACUUAGUUCCAGUUGGUACUCGUCGAAAUUCCAUGAAGGAUCCUCUAUCCUUCGCUACAUGGUCUGUCGCUCCUAAAUCUACAGUCCACAAAGGAUUGGAUUCAGCUAAAAACACAGAACUCGACACAAAAGUAAAGUUCUGAAAAGUACAAGGGGUGCAUACCUUCUUUGGCUCACGACAGUCGCGAGCAUAGUGACCCUUCUUGUCAUAGUUGUAGCAUUUCACCCUUGCAAGCUUUUUCAUGCGAGGACGCUUUCCUCUUCCAUGUUGGUUAAACUUGGGUUUCUUCCCUGAAGGACCUUCUUCCUUACCUUUCCCUUUAUCAAGCCAGUUAGAACGUUUGCGCUUGGAGCUCAAAGCUCCAUUUGAGGUAGAACUAGCAUGAUAGAGUUCAGCAUCCGUCUUAGCCGCCAAGAGGCGGUCCUCUUCCAGCUCAAGAUGGCGCACUGCAUCCUCAAAAGUUUUGAUAUUUUCAUUAUGGGUCAGGUGCACCUUCAUAUGCUCCCAACUCUGAGGCAAGGAACGAAUCACUGCUUGCACGCCGUGACUGAUGGUGGGCCCACGUGUAAUACGUUUGGCAAAAUGAAUGGAUUAAUUUUUUGCUAAAUUGACAUCAGACUUGACCAUGAGGCUUCUUAUAGGAGUCAAACCUAAUAGUGAGCUGUUUUAGUCUGGUCACCGAAGUAUGACCAAAUCUAGCUGCCAAUGCCUCCCACAUUUCCUUGGCAUUGUCAAAACGCCUAAACUCUCGAAUGACGUCAUUUUCCAUGCUGCUCAGCAACGUGAUGCGAGCAAGAGAGUUCUUUCUUUUNNNNNNNNNNNNNNNNNNNNNNNNNNNNNNNNNNNNNNNNNNNNNNNNNNNNNNNNNNNNNNNNNNNNNNNNNNNNNNNNNNNNNNNNNNNNNNNNNNNNNNNNNNNNNNNNNNGAUUUUCAUGUGCCAUAUUUCAUAGUUGUCACCAUUGAGCUUUUCACCUUUGUUCAGCUCGGCAACUAUGCUCUUUGUGGCUGAAGCCAUUGAUCUGAACACAUCAGACAUAUAUGCACGAAUUAUUAAUGCCUAUCAUUUAUGCAUCUCUAUUUGCAUAGACCCAUCAUAUUAAUGAAUAAUUUCAAGUAAGACUUCAGAAUCAAAAGGUCACUAAGUUUCCAAUCAUCCUCCAAAAUCCUAAUUUAAAACUAUCAUUAAUAUAAUUGUCUUAUGCAAAAUAAAUUCUAUGAAGUUACAAAAACUUCUAUAACUACCCACAGCUAAUUACCCACAGCAACCAGCAAUAACAGAAAGCAACAGAUAAUUGACAUCAAAUAAAACAAUAAUGCUUUCAACUAAUACAACCAAGAUAUUGGUUGUUAUAUCAAUAACAAUCAGGUAGUAAACAUUACAUAAUAUGUCCACAAAGCACACUUAACAAAAAUCAGCCAAUACAACUAACACAAAGUCAGCACACGAACUGGGAAAGAUCCUCUUUUGUUCAAUUUCUUGAUCUUUUCCCUUGUAAUAAUCCAGUAAUAUUAAUUUACAAAAUCCAUUAUAAUUUUCUUAUAAGAAGCAGAUCCGUUGACAUCCCAUAUGCGAUUCAACACAUCUUGCCAUUUAGGUGGAAGAGUGUUCAUGAAGAAUCGCACAAUUUCUAACUGUGGCAUAGGAUGACCAUUCCAUAUGACAUUUUGAAUUUUCCCGUUGACUUCAAGGACGUGAUCAAUUAAGUCACCACUCUCCCAUCGAUGAUCAGUCAGCUCAGCUAUCAACUUAGACAGCCUUUCCUUUUGUUCAUCGGUAAUUGUACGAAUAGGUGUGCGCAACCUGAGGGGAGGCAUUUUUCCUGCAACAAAUGCAGAAAUGUUCCUGCAACAAAUGCAGAAUAAAUAAGGGAUCACAAAUAAUCCACAUAGACUUAAUUGAAAAAAGAAACACAUUCUUUUCCCUCUUUUUUUUUUUUCAACGGUCAACGGUCGGGUCGUCGGUCGUCGGACCGGUCGGACCGGACAGACCGGUCGGACCGGUUGUGCCGGUCGGGCCGGUUCAGGCGAAUCGAUCGCACGUGCUGCGCGCGUGCGCAGCUGAUGUCACGCAUACAUCAGCUGGCGCGCGUGUGCCGGGCGUUCGCGGUUCGGGUCGGGUCGCCUCGCCGGUCGGGUCGCCGGCCGGUGAUCGCCCGGCCAAUUGUCGUCGUUGCUGACGUCAUCGAUGAUGUCACCCCAGCAGCUACUGACCGUUGGGUGACGUCAUGCUGACGUUAGCACGCGUCGGUCUGCCAACCGGCGUGUGUCGGUUCGCCUCCGACGUUGCGCACGUGCUGGUUCACAGAUCGGCGCGUGGCGCCCACGCGUAAUGGCUUCUGGCCACGCGUGUGGGCGCGUGCGGCGUCAUCCGGCGGUGCACGACAUGUCGCCGGACUCGUCUAGACGAGCCCUUUCACCUUAUGCCAUCAUAAUUCGAUUUCGACUUACAGAAAGUCGAGAAAACGGACGAACAUCGUUCGGGUGUCGGGAUUUUGCGCCCCGAUCCGUGUCGGCCGAAUUACUUCGCGAAAAAAAAUCAGAAAACACGAAAAAGGGUCGGGAAGACAUGAACUAGGGCUCUGAUACCAAUGUUGGGUAUAAUGGAUCACCAAAAACCGGAUUCGACACUAAAUCGAACCCCUAAACCAAUGCGGAAGACGAGCCUGGGAAAAACAACACGUAUCACCGAUCCUAAAGUACACCACGGAUUCGAGCGUGCCUUUUAAGCCAUAGAUUAAACACCGACGCUGAUAGAGGAAGAGAAACUUGGCCCUAUUCGAUCCGAUAAAGCAAAUUCGCCUUUGCGCUUCAUUGUUUUCUUUUUGGGAGAGAACGAGAGAGAGAGCAUGAGAGGAAAAAGACGUACGUUCGUUUUGUUCCAACAUGUCUUCUCUCUCUCUCCUCCCUUUUAUACGUCCCUCCACCCACGGGCCCUAUUCCCGUGGGCCGGGCUUUUUGGGUCCAAUUUGGGCGGACGGGCCUUAAGCCCAUCGCUAAUAAAACCAUCACUACCUAUAACCAUCGUGGGCACAGAAAAAGAACGAGUCUUUUCCAUCUGUUUUCCCGCUUCCCCUCUGGGAGAAGACAAUAUCAAGACCCAUUCUAAGACACCAAUUCAGCCACAGCUCCAUGAAAUGGCAAGGCCCAACAACGUUCCCACGCCGCGACUAUACAUAACCGUUACGGGCACAGUUAAAAAACGAGUCCUUUCCAUUCUUCUCCAAGCUUUUUCUAAUUUUUUACCUCUCGCUUGCUCUCGUGCAGUGCAGUAACGGAACCCCGGAACAGGAAAAUGGAUCGAGAAAACUCUUUGGGCCGAUGAAUCAUUAUAAGUUACCUCGGAACAAUUAUUUUACUACUGUCAAAUAUAAUGAUAGAUUCCGACCAAAAGAAAAUUUUAAUGAUGGAUUCGGUCAAAAAAAUAUUUGAUGAUAGAAUAAAAAUUGGCUUUAAUCUAUCUUAUUAAUUGGUUUUAUAUACCAAGUAAAUGCUAACAACAAUGUUCAAUUAGAGAUAUUAGUUAUUAAUAACUCAGCAACCAAAUUACAAUUUUAUAACUUUCAAAUAGAUUAAAGAAAUAAGAGUAUUGGAAAUAUUAAAAUUUUCAAAAAGCACAAUUAAAUUAGAAAAUUUAUCAUAAAUGUAGAAUUGAGUUUUAAAAUUUUUAAAAAAUACAAUCAAGUCUUAAAAUGAAUUAAUGACUUUAAUAUGAAUUAAGAUUUGUGUAUCAAUCAAAUCAAAACUAGUUCAUAAAUUAAUUAAAGAAAAAUUGUGUAUCGCUUGAAUUAGGAUCUGUAAUUUCAUAAAAGAAUUAAUGACUUUAGCAUGUUGACAACUUGUACGACUAAAUAUUUUUAAAUUAUUAAAACGAACAAUUAUUUUGGAACAAUCAAACAAACCCCAGUAUUUUUUUAUGAAAAUUUCGGUACAAACAUGUCACAAGCCAGGUACGUCGCUGAUAUUUUUUUCAACAAAUUGUUACUAAACAAUAUUUUUGAACUUACUGAUAUGGAACGAUCAGUGGUCCUCACUUUACCAAAAAAAAAACAAUCAGUGGUCCUCAUGUUCUAUCUCUUGCUUCCAUGGAGGUUCUCGGAAAAGACAUUUUCUUAUCGGCUUUCGCUGUUCCGACAGCAACUCACCACCACUUUCGAGAAGAUAAUAAUUUAGUUGGACCUAAGCGUGGCAGGGGGGAAAAGCUAGUAUCUGUCAGCUUGCGUGCUGCUACGACAGGGCAUGAUUGGUUCUAUUGUAUUAUUUCGCAAGAGAAGUCAUCUGCGAGUUCUUUCUCUUUGCGCCUCUCUCUCUACCCUCCCUCUCUCUCUCCGACGAACAAGAUCGCGACCUCCCUCCCUCUCUGCCCUCCCUCUUUCCAAUCGGCAAACCACCGCACGGGACCGGCGAAUCACCGCGCCGCCCCUCCGGCUCCAGAUCCGGCCCCGACUCGUCCGUCCCUUGCUCUUUCUCUCCUCUGGCGUUUCUGUCUGCCCUCCCUCUCUUCAACGGUGAACCAGCGCGUGACCGGUGAACUAGUAUUUUCUCCUUGCGGAGAAGCAACGAAAAUAUCUUUGAAGUCUACAGCGAGGUAGUCUUACCAAUUUCGAGGAAGGAAGGUUUGUUUCGGUGGUCUUGGUCAAGAAGGUGAGGGUAAAAAAGCAGCACAAUUGCCGCGUGAAAAGACGAGCAAUCUUGUCGUGCCAUCCUCUCCACGGGAUUGCGCGUCUCCUUCGGGGCAAGAGGUUCGAAGUAAAAGCUUUAUUUAAAGUCCCGAGUGCUCGUGACCUAGUAGCAGAAACGCCAAUCACCGUAAGUCACUUGAGACGCUCGUCUUUCGCUUUGAGAUAUCUGGUUUUGAUAGCUCUAGAUUGAGGCGUGAAGGUGAUCUCAUAAUUGUGCUGCUUUUGAGGCUCGGACGCGACUUGAUGUGCUUUAAGGUGACUCCUUUUUAGACAUUAAAGUUCAUCCGAGUAAUUCCGGCUCUGCAUCACUCCUCCAGAUGAGCCGGAUAGUCUAUUACCUUUUGAUAGAAGAAAAUAAAAACAUUUGAUUAUUACUCAUUGCAUGCCAUCUAACAUCCUUAAAAGCAUGCACAAUAUAAUAUGUGACAUUCCAUCGACUUUUUCAAAAUCACGGUCGUCACAGUUAUUGCAGAUUUUUCUUACUACCUUCCCCUUAUUCAAACUGAUCAGUAUGAGCCCCUCUCUUGCAAAACGAUUCAAGGCUAUCAUCUACAGUCCUCACUCACUUUCUUUGUUCAUUUCCCUCGUAAAAGUUCUCGGCGAGGCUUGUUUAGGGUCUUCUCUCUCCGAACUCGCACCUCUCUUUGCAUCUCAGCGUGCAGAAGGUAAUCGCUUUUUCAUCUCUUAUUAGCGUGUCAUUUCUGUUGAUUUGUUGCGGCUGAACUAGCGUGUUUUGGGCUCUCUUUGUCUGAUGUGGGUGGCUGUUAACUUGGUGUGUCACCGGCUCAUAAUUGACUUCCGUAGAAAAGGGAAGCCUUUGCUUUCAGACCUUAGAUGUGACUAAUCAUGUGGCCUCUUGUCUCAUCGUUCGUUUGCAUCGUAACUUAGUGUCGAUCCUUUGUCGAGCUAGAAUGAGUUGGAAUGCGAGACGCGCUAGAUUCUAUUGCGCGCAAAAUUGACAGUAUUCGCCUCAAGCCAAGGACCGUCUUUUUACGGAUUGUGAGGUUUCUUUGUCCCUGAAGGUCUAAGGUCAAUUAAAUAAAAAAUGAAUUUACAAAAGAAAAAGUAGUAGGCCAGUUUACGGCAAGUUCCAAGAUCAGGGGAUUUCGAUUUUCAAUUCCGAAAAUUGAGAACAUGCUCUGAUAGGUAGGUUUCAGGGUUAUGGUCUGGAAUCAAUCAAUCACCCUUAAAAGCAAGUACUCUCUUAAUCAGAUUUUAUUCACAAUUUUUCCUUUGAUGAUUAUAGGACAUUCUAGAAGAAUAGUUUGUUGUCUUCCUUGAAUUAUUGGACAAGAUAAUCCUAAAAAGUAUAUUGCCUUUCACCUCUAACUCAUUUUCUUCCUUCAAAGUUUUGAAAAUCCUGAAAAAAAGGGUAAAAAAUGGUUGAAUGAGUAAUGAAGAGAAUAGUUCAGUGAUAAAAUGUCGAUCGAUUAUUCAAAUUUCAAAGUUUGAAGAGAAUAGCUCAGUGAUGUCAUAUUGGGUUAAAGUAGAUUCAUUUUGCAUGACAUUGCUAAUAUGUAAGGUCAACGGGGAACAAAUAAAAGAGAAAUAGCAAAGACCUUUUGUUCAUCUCUAUCUCAUUUCCAAAUUCAUUUAGAAUAUGACAAUUUGAAAUUAAAAUGUAAGAUCACAUUCCUAAUCACUAACAAGGCCCUUUCUUCAUAUCUUCCACACAUUUCCAAUUUCGUUUGAACUCAUUUAUCAGCUUUUAAAUGAUUUAUCAAACUAUGAUUUUUAAUAAUCAAACAAAAACAGGACCUUUGCUUAUUUAUUUUAAUGAAUGCAACUUGCUUGUACACAGAUUCUAGCUUUUUAUAGCCCAAGUAAGAAUUUAACAUCGUGAGCGGACCAAGCCAACAUCUUUCGACUUGACUAGAGGGUGAGAUACAAAAGAAGAUAAGGCAAGGACUAAAAGCAUCUGAAACUGCUUCUGUUCAAUCGAUUACAAAUUUAAUUAAAGAUUUUGAAAAAGUCUGUUCUUGCUUGGUAAAAAUAUUUUGGUGGGUCAAGACUUAUGGAUGAUUAUGUAUUUUUUUUUAAAUAAUCGUGUUUAAGCAUAAUUUUCGAGAGUUGGCUGGGGCAGGGUGUAGGGAAUAACGGAUCCCCGAAAACCGGAUUCGACACUAAAUCGAACUCCUAAAUCAAAUGCGGAAGACGAAGCCCGGGAAAACACGUAUCACCGAUCGUAAAGCACACCACGGAUUCGAGCGUACCUUGUUAGCCACAGAUUAAACACCAAUGCUGAAGAAGAGGAAGAAAUUCUGAUCCGAUGAUGUCAAUCGAAGGGACGACAGUGCCGUUUGCCUUACUGUCCUUUUUGGAGAGAGAGAGCGCGCGCGGGAGAGGGGAGAACGUACGUAACUUCUGUUUCCAACAGAUGCGUCCUCUCUAUCUCUCUCAUCCCUUUUAUACGUUCCCCCAUCCACGGGCCCUAUUCCCAUGGGCCGGGCCCUUUUGGGCCCAACUUGAGCGGAUGGGCCUUAAGCCCAUCUCAUAAAUCCAUCAUCUCCCACUCGCACAUGGUGGUCCAAAACCAACAUGGGCGGACAGGCCCUACCUAGCCCCAUCAGAGAAUAAUCCAUCAUAGACUCUUACUUAACAUGGUGGGCCGAACAGAAUCCUCUUUACCUCUCUUCAACAUUCAUACCGGUGAAUAAUCCGUGCGACCAGCAUACUUUGAGAGCUCAUUGCCAUACAUCUGUUAGGAAUAUAUAGCAGCUCAUAAUGGGCAUCACACUCCGAGUAGAUUUAGUAUGCAGUACCCUAGAUCGAUCGAUCACAUUUAUAUCUCUCUUGAUCUCUUUUAAACAAUGAUAUAUAUAUUGUAUUCACAAUUAUGAUUAUCAGAAAGACAGUCAUAAUUAGUUAACCGGUGAAUACAAAACUUCAAUGUGAUUCUCCAAAAUCGAUCUUCCUCUUUCCUUCAAACUCUCAAUUUCAGUCCAGCUUGCUUUUCUAGAAAUCCCCCAUUAGAUCGAAUCACUCAUGACCAUUGGCAACAUCCUAAGAUAGCAAACACUAAAUAGAAAUCUUGAGAAUAAGUAAGAGUCAUGAGGGGACUAAGAAAUUGAGAUCACACGACAUAAAAGUUGAGAUCAAACUUUUGCCAUUCUUAUUGGUCGUCUCAUGCAUACGUAGUAUGAAAUACGUAUUACGGUAUUAACUCCUUUCCCAUGGAGCGUAUGUCUACAUCUUCAAUAUCGUACAGAUGAUAGUUCAGACAUACCCAAUGUCUAACUUGAGUUCACGUAUCUACUCAUUCACAAAAUUCAUCAAAACUCACAUCUGGCAUCUUAGACAGAUAAAGUAAAACAUGUGGGGUAUUUUUACUUUCGGACAUAGUAAGUAUUAUGUCCUCAUCUUAACACUCAGUUAAGGCGACAUACGUGUUUUAAGCUUGAGCUCUCGAUUAUCACCUAGAUAAUAAGCUUAAAAACAGUCUCAUCUCUAUUUAUCACACAGUAAAUAGAGGCGAUUACCCGUGUGAGUGGGCUAAUCUUAUAUCUGUCCGACAUACUUCUCAACUUAAAGUAAUGCACUAAGCAUUAAGAUGCACAAAGAUCACACAUAGAUUCAUAGGCAUUAAUGAUGAAAACACAUGUUCAUCAAAUGUGAACACUUAGGGAAAUUACAAUAUUCAGUACAUCGGCCUCUACGCAAUCCUAGAGAUUUCACAUAGCCAGAAAACACAUCUCUAGGUAUUGACUUUGUCAUAGGAUCUGCUACCAAUCUUAUGCGUAGUAUGUACUAUUAGUUCACAUCAUUUUGUGUAACCAUAUUUUUAACAAAUUUAUACUUGGUAUCUACAUGUUUGGUCUUGCCUUGAUAUUUUGGAUCUUUGGUGUACGCUUUUGCUACUUGGCUAUCAUCGUUAACCAAUAACGAAUCUGCAGCACUUCCAAUAACACCUAAAUGAUCCAAAAAUCUCUUAAGCCAAACACCUUCUUAUACUGCUGCUGAUAAUGCCACGAACUCAGUUUCCAUCGUGGACAAGGCUAUACACAUUUGUUUCUUACUGCUCCAACAUAUGGUGUCAUUAUUCGGUAAGAAAACAAACCCAGAGAUAGAUUUUCUUUCAUCUAAAUCUCCUCCCCAAUCAGUAUUAGAAUAGCCUUUGAGCUGCAGAUCCUUUCCUUAAUAACUCAACAUAUAAUCAGCAGUCCCCUUUAGAUACCUUAGUAUUCUCUUAACGGCUUUCCAUUGUGCUGGACCUGGAUUGGAUUGGUAUCUACUCACCAUUCCAACUACAAAACAUAUGCCAGGUCUUGUACACAUCAUAGCGUACAUCAAGCUCCCAACAGCACUAGCAUAAGGAACAUGUUUCAUUUGUUCCUUCUCUUGUGGAGUCCUUGGACACAGUCUAUGGCUCAAUCCUUCACCCUUUGCAAUAGGAGUGUCUAUGGGUUUACAAUCUCAAAAUCUUAACUCCAAGAAUGUAUUCAACAUCACCCAUGUCUUUCAUCUCAUAGUUGGAAGACAAUCAACUCUUGACAGAAUUAACAAACUCCAUAUUGCUUCCGACAAUUAGUAUAUCAUCAACAUAUAAUGAUAUGAUCACAAAUUGAUCCUUGGAUCUUUUGAUAUAUACACAAUGAUCCUCAUCUAUCAUUGUAAAAUCAUAUGCCAUUAUGACAUUAUGAAAAAACGUAUAUAUAUCAUUGUCUUGACGACUGCUGAAGGCUAUAUAUCGACUUCAAAAGUCAACAUACAUUUUCUUCUUGGCCUUUCACUAUGAAACCAGCGGGUUGUUAUAUAUAUAUAUAUAUAUAUAUAUAUAUAUAUAUAUAUAUAUAUAUAUAUAUCUUCCUCCCAAUUCUCCAUUGAGGAAAACAGUCUUUUCAUCCAUCUGAUGUAACUCAAGAUCCAGACUAACCACUUUUGCCAGAAUAAUGUGAAUUGAGGUAAAUCUCACUACAGGAGAAAAUGUAUCCUCAUAAUCAAUUCCUUCCUGUUGAUCAUACCCCUUCGCCACAAGGUGAGCCUUAUGCCUUUCUAUCGAGCCAUCAGCCUUUCGCUUUAUUUUGAGAACCCAUUUGUUCCUAAUGGCUUUGUGUCCUUUUUGAAAAUCAACCAGUUCCCAGACUUGGUUUGAUUUCAUUGACUCCAUUUCCUCUUUCAUUACAUGAAUCCAUUUUUUCUUACUAGGGCAACUCAGAGCCUCAUUAAUAUUUCUUGGCUCAUCCUCAUCUUGUGGAGCAAUCAUAAAAGUUUCCCCUUCAAUGUCAAAACGUCGACCGGGAAUACUCUGGCGACUUGUUCGCCGUAUAGGAGAUUGUACACUUAGCACAUCAUUCCUAAUUAUGCUCCCACUCGGAUUAGAUAAUGACGAUGUCGUCUCAUCAUGUAGUUGCAAUUGAGAAUGAGUCGAAUUCAAUUCAUCACUUCUCAUAUUACUCCCACUUGGAUGAACUCCACUGACAUCAUUAUCUUGAUCCAAGGUUUCAAAUAAGAAGUAAUCUUCCUUUAUUUUGCCCUUCUUAGGAAAUUCAUCCACUAAGAAUGUGACAUCCCGUGAUUCAAAUUCAGUUAUACUCUCAUUUUCCUGCUCACCUAUGAACACAUACCCUUUCAAGUGUUCAAGAGUAUCUCAUGAAAAUACUAUUCUUUCCUUUUGGGACCCUAUUUUCCAAACUUGUGAGAGGAUUCAUGAGUACAGGCAGCACAACCCCAUGGCUUAAGAAAACUUAAGUCCGAUUUUCUACCUGUCCAUAACUCAUAUGGAGUGGAAAUAACUGAUUUGGAAGGCACCCGGUUAAGUACAUAGGCAGCAGUUAACAACGCAUCACACCAAAAAGUAAUAGGUAAGUUAGCAUGCGCCAUCAUGGACCUAACCAUUCCAGUAGGGUUCUGUUUCUUCUCUCCGCAACACCAUUUUGUUGAGGAGUAUAUGGAAUAGACAACUAUCUUUCUAUUCCUUUUUCAUCACUUAAUUUUCUGAACUCAUCAGAUAAAUAUUCUCGACCUCGAUCGGAUCUCAAUACUUUUAUUUUCUUGUCUAAUUGAUUUUCUGCAAGGUUCAUAAACCUUCUGAAACAACUUAUGCUUCAGAUUUAUGAGAAAUCAAAUAGACACAUCCGAAUGGAGUAUAAUCAUCUAUAAAAGUAAUGAAAUAAACAGCCCCAUGCCUUCCUCUCACAUUCAUUGAACCACAGACGUCAGAAUGAAUUAAAUGCAGAGGAAAUUCAGCUCUUUUACCUUUUCCAAAUGGUUUCCUUGUCGUUUUCCCUUCUAGGCAAUGCUUACAUAUGGGCAAAUCGACUUCUUCAAUGUUACCCAACAAGCCCUUUUUGGCUAGUCUUUUCAUAUGUUGCUGGCCCAUAUGACCAAGUCUAGCAUGCCACCAUAUUCAUAUCAUUAUCACAUGAAGCAGAAGACGUGAAACAAGAGAAUAACAAAUAUUGACAUCACCACAGUCAACAUUACAAUAAAACCAUCCAGAAAGUGACCACAACCAUAGUAGUUUGUAUCCAAAUACAAAUCUACACAUUUAUUACGGAAGUUCACACAAAAACCAAGCUUAACCAACAUCAAAACAGACACUUAAAUUUCGACGAAUCUCCGGAGCAUAUAGAUCAUCAUGUAGGAACAAGUUGCGUCCACCACGCAUGUUCAAUUGGCAGGUGCCAAUCUCUUUUAACUUCAUAUCUGGAGUUAUUUCCUACAUAGAUCCACUUAGUUCCAAUUGGUAUCGUCGGAAUUCCACGAAUGAUCCUCUAUCCUUCGCUACGUGGUCUGUCACUCCUGAAUCUACAGUCCACAAAGGAUUGGAUUCAGCCAAUAAUUCAGAACUUGAUACAUAAGCAAAGUUCUCAAAUGUACAAGAGGUGUAUACUUUUUUUAGCUCACGACAGUCGCGAGCAUAGUGACCUCUCUUGUCACAUUUGUAAUACCUCACCCUUGACAUUUUCUUUACUUGAGGACGUUUUCCUCUCUUGUGUUGGUUAACUCUUGAUUUCUUGCAAUAAGAACUUGAUCCUUUGUAUGCCCACAUAUUGAACGAAUCAAUACGCUUGCACUUAGAGCACAAAGCCCUUUCUGAGCUAGGACCAGCAUAGAAAAUAUCUAUUUUCGGCUCAAAUGCCGUUAGGCGGUCCUCAACUAGCUCAAGGUGGCGCACAACAUUUAUAAGAUCUUCCAUAAUAUGGUCAAGAGCUUCUAGUGCUUCUUGCUUUUCCAGCACAUAUUGAAUCCUCAUAUUUAAUAUUUCACAAUUGUUGCCGUUCAUAUCAGCAAUUACGUUCUUAAUUGCUGAAACCAUCGAUCUGAACACAUCAGACAUACAUGCACGAAUAAUUAAUGCCUAUCAUUUAUGCAUCCCUAUUUGCACAGACUCAUCAUAUUAAUAAAUAAUUUCAAGUAAGGUUUCAGAAUUAAAAGGUCACUACGUUUCCAAUCAUCCUCCAAAAUCCUAACUCAAAAUUAUUAUUAAUAUAAUUGUCUUAUGCAAAUACAUUCUAUGAAGUUACAAAAACUUCUAUAGCUACCCACAGCUAACUACCCACAGCAAUCAGCAGUAACAGAAAGCAAAUAAUAAUUUAUAUUCAACAGAAUAAUCAUACUUUCAACAUAAUACAACUAACAUAUUACACUAAGCAAUAUAUACAGAGGAAACAUAUCAUCAUGAAAAGAGAUAUUUACAUACAUAAAACAUCUCAUAAUUAAUCUAGGAAAUAAUUAGGGAAUGUCCCUUCUAAUCUAUCAGUCAUAACAUCUGAGAAAACUGAAGGCACAUUUGCCAACCAUGGAAAAAACUUUUGGAGAGCUUUCAUGUCGCCACCAAGGCGCAUUUACUCUGUGCCCUGUGACGCUUAAACUAAGGGUUGAGGUUUUGGUCAACUCAAUCCUAUAGUAUUCUCUUACAAAAGCUUCCACUAGCCUCCUAUAACCCGAGACCACGUUGACCUCCCAUAACCGAUCUAACACUGCUUGCCAUUCAGAUGGAAUAGUGUUCAUCAAAGCCAGCACAUUUUCAAAAUCCGGCAUAAGAUAACCAUUCCAGAUGAUUUCCUGUAUCAUCUAAUUAACCCUGACCACAUGUGAUACUAAAUCACCGUCAUGCCACCGAUAAUUAGCUAAAUCUGACAUCAGCCUUUUAAGCCUUGCAUUUCCCUCAUCCGUUCUCGGGAUUGCAGGUAUCCGUGCAUGACGCAUCAUAGUUCAUGCAACAAAUGCAGAACUAAAAAUGGAUCACUUAUAAUCCAUAAUUUUACAUAAGGAAAAUACAUAAUUUUUCAUAAUUCAUGCAACACAUGCAUAAUAAAAAAAAAUGGGUUACAUAUAAACCACAUAGGCAUAUAUGAAAAAGAAACAAAUUCCUUUUUUUCUUUUUUUUUCUUUUUUUUUUCCGAGUCAACGGUCAACGGUCGUCAACGGUCAACGGGUCGCCGGUCGUCGGACCGGUCGCGCCGGUUGGGCCGCCGGGUCGGUUCGCGCAGACCGCCCGCACGUGCCGCGCGCGUGCGCUGGCUGACGUCACGCAGACGUCAUCCGGCACGUGCCGCACGCGUGACGGGGUCCGCGAGUCGCCGGUCGGGUCGGGUCGAGUCGCCGGCCGGUCACCGGCCGGCCACUGUCGUCGUGCUGACGUCAUCAAUGACGUCACCCCAGCGGUUAUUUACCAUUGGAUGACGUCAUGCUGACGUCAGCACGCGUCGGUCCGUGGACCGGCGUGUGCCGGUUCGCCGGCCGCCGGCGCGCAUGUGCCAGUUCGUCGCCGGCGCGUGUGGCGCACGCGCUAGCCGAUGCCAGCACUUGGGGCGCAUCACGCCCACGCGCAGCGGCUUCUGGCCGCGCGUGUGGGCGCGUGCAGCGUCUCCCAGUGGCGCGCGACAUGUCACCGGAAUCGUCUCGACGUCCUCUUUCACCCAAUGCCUUCAUAUUUCGAUUUCGACUUACGAAAACUCGGAAAAAUGGCCGAACAGCGCUCGGGUGUCGGGAUUUGUCGCCCGAUCCUUACGGCCGAAUUGCUUUUGCGAAAAAAUCAAUCAAAACAACAGCAAUCAGGUCGGGAAAACGUGAACUAGGGCUCUGAUACCAAUGUAGGGAAUAACGGAUCCCCGAAAACCGGAUUCGACACUAAAUCGAACCCCUAAAUCAAAUGCGGAAGAUGAAACCCGGGAAAACACGUAUCACCGAUCGUAAAGCACACCACGGAUUCGAGCGUACCUUGUUAGCCACAAAUUAAACACCAAUGCUGAAGAAGAGGAAGAAAUUCUGAUUCGAUGAUGUCAAUCGAAGGGAAGACAGUGCCGUUUGCCUUACUGUCCUUUUUGGAGAGAGAGAGUGUGCGCGAGAGAGGGGAGAACGUACGUAACUUCUGUUUCCAACAGAUGCGUCCUCUCUCUCUCUCUCAUCCCUUUUAUACGUUCCCCCAUCCACGGGCCCUAUUCCCAUGGGCCGGGCCCUUUUGGGCCCAACUUGAGCGGAUGGGCCUUAAGCCCAUCUCAUAAAUCCAUCACAGGGCACCCUUAGCCCCUCAUUAAAUCCACCCAUAUUGUGAGACUAAACAAGGAGAAAACUCAGGAGGGCAUUGGGAAUAUAUACUGCUGGGAGAGUUGAUUACUUAAUCAGUGGAGGUUAGGGAAAUGAAGAAAAUAAGAAAAAUAGAAACCAACCAUUAGUAAUGAGGGCGAGGAUAUGGACAUGGAUGACCCAUUUAGCGAGAAUGGUUCGGGAAGGCCUACCAUUGCUGGGGGAGAGCUCACUCUCAAUUUAUUUUUAUUUUUUUAGUUGGGUCAAAAGCUAACUCUCAUCCAUCCGUGGGUAGUUGCAUCGGUUGAGAGUCCUUCCCUCAUAGCUGAGGUCGAGAAUUAGAAACCCGCAGUUGCUAGCGAUUUAAGUGGGGGCUUUGGUGGUGGAUUGCUGGGCUAGUCUCGCUCGAGGUAUAGGGGCCCGGCUCUCGAGAGCCGUUCAGGCACGAGGGGUCCAUGGUGGAGUCAUCGGUUACCAAAAACAAAAACUAAUUCUCAUUGAGAUAGCGCGAGCAAAAAUGCUUAGAGAAAAAGAGUUUGCCCAUUUUGGCUGUUCACUUUUCUAAUUUUUAAAUGACAAUUUUUUAUUUAACGACUCACAAAUUUGAUUGCUAUUUCCUUUUGAUUGUUUCCUUUUCAAUUGAUUACGAAGAUUUGAUAUUAGAUUUUAUGAAUAUGAAUAAUCAACACUUUGAUGAACGCAGAGAUCAACGUAUAUGCAUGUACUUUCAAAUAGAUGAUUACAUAAAACCACUGGUCAAAGGCAUGAUUGGAGCAAAUAUGGAGAUUUCCUGGAGGCGAUUGCAUAUGACCUUAAUAAAUCUGAACCUUUGUUAUUAUUGAGUCUCAUGUGAAAACCACAUAAUAUAAGAGUUGAGAUUCAUUAGGGGAUAUGCAUUUGAGAAUGCCUAAUGAAAUAUAGGCAUCAACACGUUAGCUUUAGUUAAUUUUACAUGUUUAAUUUGUAACCAACCAAUAAGAGACACAAUUAAUGAAAAUCUCCUCGAUUAGGAAAGUCCAUGCAUCAAGAGGAUGAGGUCCAUGUAAGAGAGAAGAUGUGCAUUACACUGCUCCAACACAACAACUUGUAAUAUUGGAUUAAUCAAUAUACACCCCCUAAGAAAACUCAUUCAGUAAAUAUUGUGUACAUUCGGAAAUCAGAUGCUUUUCUAUCUAGCCUUUUCACUUGAUUAUCUACAUCUUUUAGUGGAGCAGGAAAGCAUCUUCUCUUCAUUAAAAAUUUUAGUGUUAGUAAUCGUUCAUAAUGCAUGUGCUCUUCACCAAAGAUUAGGAGCCUUGACUAUGGAGCACGCAUGUAGAGAUGAAAAUUAGCCAUUUUCUUCUUGUCCAUGAGUGGACACAACCCAAUGAUGUUGCCUUGACGAGGGGGCGCGGUCCAUUGGAAAGAAAAGAUGCCCGCCUAAGUCAAUAACUUUUACUAUUUAAUUAGUCAACAGACUGACUUGAUCAUUAAACAUUUCGGAUUCGAAAUCGUUCAGAAAUCAUAUGCUCUCCUCCCAAAAAGCACGUGCUCUGCCUUUUCGUUUGCUUAUCUAAUUCUUCUUGUGCAGCAGGUUGGCAUCCUCUCUUCAUUUUUCUAUAUAAGAUUUCUAUGGGGAAAGGGCAAAGUCUGAGCAAAAUAAAAAGAAAUAGAGCGCAAAAAAAAGGAGCACUGAGGGAGGAAAUCGAGAAUGAUUGCUGAGAAAGAGAUCACUAAUGGAGCAUAUGCUUCUUCGUCCUUACCUUCGAUACUCACAGGAGGAGGUAGCGAUCAAUACGAUGUGUUCUUGAACUUUAGAGGCUCUGACACUCGUAACGGAUUCACUGAUCACCUCUACCGCAGUCUAAUCAGUGUAGGGACGGUACCAAUUUCUGUGUUCAGGGACGAUAAUAGCCUUGCAAUUGGCAAGGAUUUUAAUUCAGAGAUUCUCAAUGCCAUCACGCGAUCUAAGAUUUUGAUCCCCAUCAUCUCUGAAAAUUAUGCUUCGAGCAAAUGGUGCCUCCGUGAGCUAUGCAUCAUGGACUGCCAGAAGAGCAUGUCGCACAUAGUGUUGCCCAUUUUUUACAAAGUGCUCCCAUCGGAUGUGCGGCAUCAAAAUGGAAAUUUUGGGGAGGCCUUCCGUUCGUGUAAGAAGCGUUUUGAUAAGGAGGACAUUCAAGAAGGUCAACGAGCCCUUACAGAAGUGAGUAACUUGAAUGAAUGGGAAUCUGAGAAAUUUGCUAAAGGUACUUAUCUUCUGCCUGCACUCUUUUUAUUUUUUCUUUUAUAAUUCCCCUAAGUAUUGUUAUUUAGUGAAACUAAUGUCAUAUGGAUGAAUUGCUUCCACUACAAGCUUACAAAACAUCCCAAAAUGUCCUAGUGAAUAACCAUAAUGGCCCAAGGAUUACAAAUACUUGUACUCGCUAAGAUUUCCCCUGAAAACUACACUAACAACGUUUAAAACCUUAGGAUCCCUUAUUCAGUCUUCCAAAGCUUGGUAACUGCUGGAUAAAUCGACCUCCUCUUGCUUCACACAGAUCAUGUCUAGGUUCAAGACUUGCUGUUGCCAAUAACUUUCAUUGAUAGGCGAUCUGUAAGUUAAUUAUAAGUCCUCCAUUUAGGCCCGUGGGAUACGCUGGCCUUAGAGGGAGAACAUCUUCUUCUCCUAAACUUUUUGUAACCAAAAUUAUUGACCUCCUAUUUUCAACUAGGAGCGACCAUAAUUCUCAUAACAAACAUUUUACUUCUAAAGAAUCUUAAUUUGCUACGUGCACCACUUUAUCUUAUUUCAAUAAGAUCUAUCUAUAAGAAGAAAAAGAAGGGGAAAAAUGAGAUGACCGCUACACCAUCAUCCUAUAUUGUCAUUCGUAAAACCAAAACAUUUUGCAUGUUAAUUGGUUGCAUCCAUCAUUUACAUAUAUGUCAGUGUCUUUUGAUGAGAUUACGCAAGAGUAUGAAGUUAUGAUGAGUUUUUUUGUUUAACAGGCAGGAAGGAAAAUUAGUGGAAGAAGUUACCAAAAUGAUUCUAAGCAAGGUGAGAUGUCAAUCUCAGCUUGAUGUUCCAAAGCACCUAGUUGGGGUUGACGAUCAUGUCAACAAAAUUAGGAAUUGGGUAGACAUUCCUGCCAAUCAUGCUCGAAUGAUAGGAAUAUAUGGCAUGGGUGGGAUCGGUAAAACGACUCUUGCUAAGGUCAUCUAUAACGAGCUAUCAAAUAUCUUUGUGGAUUGUAGUUUCCUUCCAAAUAUACGAGAAACAGCUAACAACAAUGGUAUUCCUUAUCUACAAAAUUUGCUAAUUAAGGAAAUACUACAAAUUGAAAAUGCUGUUUGUAAAGUUGAUGAUGGAAUUAAUUUGAUCAAAUCUAGAUUUAAAGGAAAAAUGGUUCUCAUUCUUUUGGAUGAUAUUGAUCACCAAAAUCAGCUAGAUGCUUUAGCUAGAGAACGUGAUUGGUUUACUGCAGAAAGUAUCAUCAUUGUUACAACUAGAUACAAAUCUGUACUUGAUCAGUCUGAGUUCAAGGUGGGCUACAAGUAUGAAUUGAAUGAAUUAGAUGAGGUGCAUUCUUUGCUUUUAUUUAGAAGACAUGCAUUUCGCAUGGGCCAUUGUUCGGAGGAUUUUGAGGGUGUCUCUCAUGAAAUCUUAUCUACCUUGGGUGGGCUUCCCCUAGCUAUCAAGGUCAUAGGUUCAUACUUAUAUGGAAAAAUAGAUAAAAAGAUAUGGCAAGAUAUAUUGGAGAAACUAAGAAUCGAACCAGAUAGAGAUGUCCAAAAGACAUUGAAGAUAAGUUAUGAUGCUUUGGAACCUACACAAAAGGAGAUUUUUCUGGAUAUUGCUUGCUUUUUUAUCGGCGAAAACAGCAAAUAUGCUGUUUACAUGUGGGAGGACUGUAAACUUUUUCCAUAUCUUGGAAUUGAAGAGUUGAGGCUGAGGUGUUUAGUAAAAAUUGGAGAUUGUGCUGAGUUUAGGAUGCAUGACCAAUUGAGAGAUCUCGGAAGGAGCAUCUUUCGCCAAGGACAACCGCCUGAGAGAUGUCUGAAGCCAUGGCUUAAUAUGCAAAUGGAGGUAACAUAUGGCGCUCUCUCUCUCUCUCUCUCUCUCUCUCUCUCUCUCUCUCUCUCUCUCUCUCUCUCUCUCUCUCUCUCUCUCUCUCUCUCUCUUCUCUCUCUCUCUCUCUCUCUCUCUCUCUCUCUCUCUCUCAUAACUCCAUAAAUUUAAUGUGAUACAUUUUAGCCUUUUAUCUAGUACAACCAGAUGGAAAAAAUAUAUUCACACACCCAUUUAUGUCCCCCUUAGAUAAAUUGUGAUAAUAAUUGGAUUAUAAGUGUCCCAAGGAUGAAAAAGUUACAUUAUUUGAUCCAAGUUCAUUGAUAUAAAUUACAUCCGUCAAAAACUUAAUUUUGCAAUCAAUUUAAGAUUCUUUAACUAGGAUUCUACACUAAAAAUCUUGUUCACUAAAAGCAUGUAAUUUUAUAUCUACUUGAAACUAUUGAUAAUUUGAAAGAUUACAAUAAUUUAAUUAAGAUGAAGCAUAUACAUCAUAAAUCAGAUAAAUGAAGAUGUUGUGAAUUUUCAUUCAAAACGGUAAUGUACAACAUAAGCUGAUUAUAAUAACUAAUAAUUAACCAAAUUAGUUGCCCUAAAGAAAAAUUUCACUCAUCAUAGGUGCUUGCUUUCUAGUACGGUCGAAUGUAUUGGGGUGCUCUUAUGAAUUAGGAAAUCAAUGUUUGAUAAACUUAUUUAUUUAUUUUUUUUCCAUUUUGAUUUUGAAGAUACCCCUUCCCCCCACGAGGUAUAUCUAUCUCUUCUCAUUCUUCUUGUGUCUCAAUAGCUAUGAUGGCAAAAUUCACCUUAAGAAUCUUAUAGGGAAGAUCCUUGCAAUGUUUUUAAGGUCAGAUCACGUUGACCUUGUUCAUCUCAUGGAUUUAGGUGUGUGAUAAAGAGUGGAUUUUCUUAUUUUCCUUUCUUUGACUCUUUCAUUUCUCGUUGUCUGUUCCUUCGCUUUUCUUAAUAAACAUUUCUUUCCUCUCCAACUUGUUUUAUAUUAUUUAUAUUUUUUGGUACAAUGCCCUUUUGUGCCAAAAACCCUCGACAAACUCGACAAUUUAGAGGAAAUGUCAUGCUAGUUAUUAUAUCGAUACCUUUUUCUUUACUAAAUAACAUUUUCAGUAUUUUGUCAAUUUUAAAAGUAAGUUUAAUUUUUACUUAGAUUGUCAAUGUUCAUGUCGUUUCAUUAUUUUAUAUUUUCCAUUUAGAGAAGCGUGGUAGGUUCAUAACUGAUCAAUUGGGGGGGGGGGGAAUUAACCUUUGCAAUUAACCAAGAGAUGUUGGGAAAGGAAAAAGCUUUAUUUUCUCGAUUUAAUUUGAAUUAGUUCGUUCAUGUCAUUAUAAACAGCACAUUCUUUUGUUGAGUCAAUAACUAUUCUUAAGAGAAAUAACAUUGACUGAGUUUUUCACUAGUUAAUACAUAAAGUACGGAUAAUGACACACGAGUCAAACCAUAAAAUUAAGCCCAACCUAAAAAAAGAGAAAAAAGAAUUCUAUCUUUGGUUUGAUAGUGUUUGUGGAAGUUCAUAUUUCACUAAACAAAUUUGUCUUUUGGCUAUUUAGUUUAUUCACAAUAUUUCCAAGAAACUACGAAAAAAUGCACUUUCAAGUUAUGUUGAUCGGUCGAUAAUUUUUUUUUUUUAAUGUUUACUUAUAUCUCCUGCCCUAUUGUAUCUUUGCACUUGGCGUAUAAAUAGUAUUACACCAAAAACAAAAACAAAAAAAAAAAACAAGGUACUGCUUUUCAUUUGGAGCAGAUACCGUUGUCACAAAAGUUCAUGUGAAAGAUGAAAGGUGUCGAGUGUUGUGAAAUAUGGAUCAACUAGUCGUGAGCCCAUACCAUGCAUAUACACAAAAUUGACAUGAAUAAAUUUAUCAUGAAAAUAUAACUAUAAUAUCCUUAUCUCUAUUGGAAAAGCACAUAUAGAUAGCAAAUCAUGUUCUUUGGAAAGACAGUUAUAAUUUAUAAGUGGAUAGUUCUUAAUCUUUCAUUAUAGUAAUUCAACUUUAAAAAAAAAAAAAAAAGUCUCUCAUUAUGGUAAAAAUUCAAGCGGGAAACCGCAUUUGAAAGACAUUCCUUUUUUUUUUUCCCCAAUAACAAUGGACGUACUUCUCUUGGAUGGAGUGCACAAAAAAAAAGUUAAAUGCGCUAAAAAUCGAAUUAUAAGGAAUUUAAAAAGAUAUUAAAUGAAAUUGCAUGAAAUGGAAGUGCGAUCAAAGGAAAAUUACGAGGAAAGUAAAAGAUGAACUUUGUUGUGCCAUGCCUGUCUGAUCUUACCUCUGAAUACCUCUUUUAUACCAAUGCCUCGUGUCGACCAUUCUGUUUCUAGGCCAUUCGCAUGUAACUUCCACAUGCAUCAUAUGUCACAUGCAUCAGUUGUUUCCUGCGUUACUUGCCACAUACAACCUAUGACACCUAGUCCUAUACUACUCUUUUCAAGGAAGAGAUUUCUCUAUUAUUCUCUCAACCUAAAUUUUCUCAAAAUCAAGUUCAUUAUAAAUCAUAUUUAUUUAAAUGAAUCCAUGGGCCAUUUUCAAGAAUUGACUCUCAAAAGGGGAAACCUCCAUCAUUAAUCGCAAUUGCUCGCUGUCUAAACAGAGUUAAUCAUAUAUAUAUAUAAACAUGUGUUUUGCUUUUCUUCUAAGAGGGAAUUGCUCAUCAUUUGAAACAUCAAUUGGUGUCACCUGCUCAAUCCAAUAUAAAUGGUGUGCAUAGCGUGGAUCAUGUCUAGUCUAUAUAUGAUAUAACAUGAUACUAUAAUUAUAGAAAUGAGAUUGGUGUCACUUUAGGUCCCUUCCAAUUUUACUAUUAUUGAAGGAUUAGGAAGGAUUCUACUACAAAUAAAAAGUAUGGCAGAGGAGUGAAGUCUCACUUUGGUAGAAUGCUCCUUCUCUAACCAACACAUCCCCGACCGUUAACGGUUAUAUAAUAUUCUCCUCAUCAACAUGUCGUACCAUCCCCAAUUUUUAUCACCAUUCUCUUCUUAUUUUUAAGAGUUUUGAGUUACAAAGUUCACAUAAAAAUAAGCAUAAUGUUAACAUAACAUGCACAUAGCAUGUGUAUAGAUUACCGUGGACAUUAAGCAAAGUCCAUUUGCAAAAAUAGUACCACUUCUAGGUCGAAUUUUGCUUUUACAUUUUACAAAUGCAUUUUCUUGAAUAGGUCGAGUGAGGGGCACUAUUGGCUUGAAAUUACUUUGCUCUAGAAGUGCAUGUUAACAGAUGGGUACUAAUUUCUAAUUUCUAAUUAACCUCUUGAGAAGUAUGCCCAUGCUAAAAACAAAUGUCAAUAUUUACAUCAACAUACCUCUAGAAAACCUAUUUGAUAAAAGUGGGUACUAACGGCUACAUAAGUUCCAUAAUGGUGAAAUACUCCAUUUACUCAUUGCCAGGUGGGACACCAGCUUAAUUAAGUCCGACUGGACGGUUCAAACAGGAAAUUAUUUA